rnacentral:lncRNA from 1 species
UUUAAUGGAAAGGGUAUUUUGGGAAUAAAAGUAAGAGGAUUGGUGGGUGGCAGUAGUAUUUAAGCAUAGCACAAACCCUAAACAGAACCUCAACACUACUUGAUCUUAUCUGAGCAGAGGAAGCCACGGCGCGUUUGUUGCCUUUCCUAUCCUUUCAUUUGCAGCGGCGACGGUGGCGGCGGAGCCUCCGUCAUUGGCGGCUCUGCCCCCGGGCCCGCCGCGACUGAAAGACGAAAUUCGCCGUCGGAACCCUGCAAUGAAGACUGCCCGCGGUCAGAGCCCCUUUCUCUGUUUCACAUUGCUUGGGGCAGUGAUGGCCACGCGGGCUCAACAAAUUUAUCAUUCCCUACUGUUUAUUUUUUCUUUUUGUGAAUUGUCGGUGCCGUGUUGUUUAGUCGAGCUUUGAUGUUUUGUGCAUUUCUUUUGUUUGUUAAUUAAUGCCAGUUUUCUGUUUUUGGAUAUAAUUAUGCUAUAUUUUUUCUUAUGAAGUUUGAUUUAACUAUUUUUUUAAUUGUUUGUUCUUUUUUUAAAAUGUAUAUUGUUCACAUCUCUAAUUUUUGGAGGCUGAUCUCUGUUUAAGAUGUUUGCAAAUUAGGAGUGUAUUUUUAUUUAUUUUAUUUAUUCACUUCUUUUGUAGCUGAUUAAUUGGUUUGGCAGGUUAAGUAUGGCAUAGGCAUCUGAAGCUUCAUAAGGCAUGAGGAGAUUUUCAUGCGAUGCGUGUCAUGCUUAAUGGUAUUUUGAUCUGUAUCUUUAUAUUAUUAAACUUAUACUCAUGAGCCUGCUUGUAAUUUAAUUUAGUACACCCAAUUUAUACGUAUCCAUUAUUCCAUUUGGUAUAAUAAUCGUCAACCUCAAACUUGAAUUACUAGUGUGUGUAUAUAUAGUCACGCGUAAGAACUAGCUUCCAAUUGGUACAAUACAAUUUUGGGUUCAUUCAGUGUUUUAUGUGUUACGGGAUCCAUUGUGUUUUAUGCCUUACAGUUGACCGCGUAUGCUUCUAUUUCAUGUUUGUAUGGUUUAUUAUUUCCACAUUUUUGUUUAUUGACAGCUGCUAGUGACCCUCUAUAUUCUUAAGCAUUUCUAUUGAUUAAAAUUUAUCGAAUUGAAUAUUGUCUAAUAGGUUUAACCUAAUACGGUUUUUUUUUAGUAAGGUGUUGAAAUGCUUCGUUAUUUUUCUCUAUUUCUAUCAAUCUAGAAUUGCCAUUGUCAAUGCAGUACAGUGUAUUGCAUUUUUCUGCAUAACCUGGCUUACAGGUAAUCAGAUGUCACUUAUCCUGGUAACGAAAUAAUAGGUUUAACAAAAUAAUUUUUUCAAAUUAAGUAGUUUUUUAAAUAGGUAGAAAAAAUUCAAAAUUUCAUGCCAUGACACUUGUAAAAUUGUUUAUAACAUAGGUCAAAACUAAAGAUGCAUUACAAAUCAAAUAAUAUUAGGAUUUGGCUCUCUAAGUCUAGUUGCAAAUUUAACGAAAUUUAAAAUAAUAUUAUUCGGCCCUCUAAUAUGCAGAAAGCUUAGCAAAGAGAUAAUACAAAUGGGACAACAUGAAACAACUUGCUAUGAAGUUUGAUUGAGUUUUUUUUUAAUGAAUGGGAAAUAAACAAACAAAAGCACCAGAAGGAAAAAAAAUCAGCUACCCCUGGGAUACAAAGUUCCUAGGGCAUCUGCCUAAGACAAGGAGGACACACAUUCCACAACUUGAACGAAUCACUUGAGGAAGCCCCAAACUUAGCAAGCCAAUCUGCAAUCUUGUUCCCUUCCCUUAAGAUGUGGGUGAAGGAAACAUUCAUACAGGAGGAAGACAAACUUCUGAUGCUAUGGAUCGGAGGAGCUACAGCAUGAGUUUGCACCACACCAUUGAAUAAAAAUAUUUGCCAAAAUCUUAUAUCAAUGGUUCAUAUCAAUCAUAUCUAAAUAAGCUUGAGCCUUAAUGCAUAUUCAUAAACAAAAAAAACCAAUGUACCCUUAAAAAAACAAUGUAGAGAAAAAAAAGAAAUAAAUUACCUUUUUUUUCUCCUCUACACAUAAACACGAGAAAAAAAGCUAGGAUCUGAUUUCUGAAAAAGGAGUGAAGGUCGAACAAAAUAUACUUCUACGCUCAAAAUUUUAAGCAACUUACAAAAACAACCCUUCUAAUUUUAAACAUAUUUCUAAUUUCAAAAACUUUAUUCAAUGAUGCAACACAUUCAAUCUUUUCAAUUUUGGAUAAAGAACUAAUAACAUUUGAUUAUCUGUCAUAUAAAAAUUAAUUAAAAAUAUGAUGAUCUUGAAUCGUAUAAUAAUUUCUAGUGUUAGCUAGAGGACUAUGUUGCUAACAUUCCUAAAGUAAAAAUGGUUGACAUGUUCAAAUAAGAAGAUAAUUAGUUAAGUAAUGAAUUUUGUCCAAAACUAAUAGAACGAUUCUCAACAUUUGUUCUGAAAGUGAUCUAACGAUAAAUAAAUGGGAAUGUUAUUCCAAUGUUGCCGAGAAGCUUAGACUAGCAUGUGGGGGCCAUACUGCUUGGAAUGGAUUACAAUACUCAAAUCAGGUUUAGUUCUCCUUGUCAUGGAUAAGGAGACUCAUGCUUGGUGCAUGACCCAGUAAGGAAGCGUGUACUGCAAGCAAUGAGAACUGGCUAGCACUAAUGACAAUGACAGUUGGAUAACUUAUUUUCCCACCUCCAGGCGUGGUAUAAAAGCGUAAAGUUCUGGUUGGUAAUUAACAUUAUUUCAUUCUUCACUCAACUUAAGAUCUUUAUUGACUUAAGCAUUGGAGUGAUUGCAGAUUUCAUACUACCACCGUGGUAUUUGCUUGGUGCCACCGUAAUCCACCAUUGGAAAGCAUCUUCACAAACCACUUUGAUCUCCUCCUAGGACCAAACCUCUUGUUCGGAUUUCCAUCUCUUGAACCGAACAACAUUGUAGUUAUUAGUCUUUAUCUUACAUAAUUAUAAAAAGUGGGUUGAUGGAUUAAAAACAUAACAAGCAAGUUUAAAGGGUUUAACCGUUAGUCUUUAUUUAUUUUUUCAGCCCACUAUGUGUUCAUUAUUUAUUGCUUUAUUUACACCUUUUUUUUUUAUUGCUUUUAUGUCUUAUCCUUCAAUGCACUUACAAUUUUGUUGAAGCUUCAAACUGAGUGCUCUAGGAAUCCAAAGCGAAAAGAUGACGCUCCUUCCUUAAUAUGGAAAAUGAACUGUUACCAUUUAGCUCAUUAAUAGGCUAAAUAGCUAAUUGGACUAUAAAACUAAAAUCGCAACAGUAAUAUUUUCCUUUAUGAAUCUCUAUUCUUAUGACCAAAACAUGCGUAAGGUUUGAGUGAGUGAAUUUUGCAGAUCCCAUUAAUAAUCAGCACAGUACUCACUACAAGUUUCUAUUCCUGCCCCCCUGGGUCCAUUGCCAAUCAUUGACACCCUUGAUUUUUCUUAGCAUAUAGUAGGAUGGUGGAUUUAUUAGUGCCAUGUCAACUCUUACAAAGUUUGAUCUGCCAAUGGCCAUUCACCCAUAAAGAAUGAAAAAGCAAUUAAUUAUCACAUAUGCUCAAUAUAUUAGUAUCGAUGCAAAUUUAGACCAAAAUGCAAAAUGGUCCAGCUAUAAUCCCCGAGAAUAAUGUUAAACAAAAAAAUAAUAACAAAAGGAACUUUCAGUUACUUAGCCGACAAACCAUGAGGCUACUCAACAUAAUAGUUGAACAUAAUCAACAAAAGAAUAAUUAAUUUUAUGAUUUGAUCCAGACGAAUCACCUUUCUGGACAGGGGAAGCUCAAAAAAUUACGGCUAAAGGUAAUGAAAGAUUCGUGGAAUGAUCUACUAUUGUCUAAAAUCUUCUCAAAAACACUUCCACAUGAAGAUGUUGUAAGGUAUGUUGGGAACAAAGGUUUGUGUAUGCUUAAAAUACAUAUUGACCUAACCAAGAGAGCGUUUAUAAUUUGGGCCAAACCACCUUUUUUUUUUAAGACCAAUCAUUGGCAAUUUGGCAUCAUAAAAGAAUAAUUGGUAGGAGGCAUAUUACCUGCAAAAGGAGCACAAUAUAAAAUAUUGCUCUUACCUCUUUCAUGAUAUAUUAUAGAUCAUGGGUCCAUUACCUAAAAGUCUCCUUCACUUCUCUCUCUUUCUGUCUGUCCUUUCUUUCUCUCCGUAGAUAUAUAACAUUAAUUAUUUAUGUGUUCAAUAAUGUUGGUCCCAAACUUUAUACGAUAUAGACUUAGAAAUUGUGGAAAUAAAACCCCUUUUGCCUUGCUAUGUACACUUUAUUUUACAUCAGCAGUCUAUGUCGUAACACCUCUCUAUCUAGGGUAGUUAGAAUUUCGAAAGAUUAGCAGUUAAGCUUACUAUACAAGAUGUGAGAGUUAGGAAGGAUGGUCAAAUACAAAUUACGUUGGAGUGAUGGGUUUAUUGUACUAAUUAACAAAUUAAAAUGAAAUCAAGUUGCCAGUAAUUCGAGAUUACCCUUUGCACCAUGUUGCUCUACAAACAGAUUUCUAUAACUAUAAGUAGAAAGGAAUCUUAACGUGGCAUGGUUUAGGUGAUGACAGGGAAUGGAUGUUGACCCAUCAACAAAGGGGAUAACACCAAACAAAUCCAUCACAGAGCUUGGAUUAAAUAUACAAAGUGGUUAAGCUUGUGGACUAAUAUUCUAAUGUUUUGGUUGAAUUGGUAUAAGCAUAGGUUUUAUUUUAUUUAAUUUGCGUGAGUAAAAUCAGUCACUGCAACAGUAAAAAAGGAGAGUGAAAUUCACCUUUGGCUUUCAAUUUUGAACCCCUUUUAUCUGCCAAAUUUUAAUAGGAAAGAAAACUUGAUCCCAUGCAUUGGUUCAAUGAAUUUAUUGUGUUCAACUUGGUCUCAUACACGAGUUCAAUGAAUUUAUUGUGGUCUCACAUCUCAGAUGAAACUACAUGAGUCCUUAGUUGUUUUAAGUACAUUCAGCACAGAAUUGAACCAAUAAGAAAACACAGGCGGUUAGAGGAGAGAGAGAGUGGAGUAGGAGUCAGUGAUUCUAGUGGGUUCCUGCAACAGACCCCACCUGUCCAUAUUUAUUAUUUAUUAUUUUGUUUUAUUCAAAAUUUUCUCUUGAAUUUUAUUUGAGCCACCUUUGAAUGAGAAGCCCCACAAGUCCAAACUCCAAAGAGAGCAUGAGACAAGUUUUGGUGGGACAACAUCUUGGGUACCACAGAAUGAGUUUCUCAAUCUGAAAUAUUUUUUCAACUAGGGACAGCCAUAAAGCAAGCCAAACAGACUAAUCAAUCAGGUUUCUUCAUUGAGAAGGAGAAAAGAAAGAGAUAGAGACACCCCAUGAAAGAUAAAAAAAAAAGUUGCAAAGAUGAUCAUAUCUGAGAAAAAGACUGGACCCUCUCUUGUGCCAACUUACAACAUAGAUUAGAUAUUACUUUGACAAGAAAACCUAGAUCUUUCUCCCCUCUAUGACCUUCUCAAUAUAGACUUGUAUUUAUAGAGGUAAGGUGAACACUAAACACAACACAUGACACCAUACAUAUAUAUACCACUUUUUAAAUUCAUGCUAGAGCAACACCACUUUUUGUUCAUGUAAAUUCAAUUUGAAUUAUAACACAAGGUUUCAGCUUCAGGGAAGAUGAUAAUGGUCUAAAAAGAAAAAAAGCUUUGCAUGGCGAGCCACAGAAUAGGAGAACUUGGUUUGUCUGAGUCAAGACCUUCAACUCACCACAUCCCUUAUGGAGUGCUUCAAGGAAUUAACACUCCUGCGUCAAGCUUAAUGUAAUUCUUCAAUAAUAGUAUCAUCUCCUAUUAACUUUUCAGGCUCUUAAGAAGGAACUAGUAUAUGGUGAUUCAUUUUACAAAUAUGAUUGUUUUGUGUUUACUUUAAACUGUUUCUUUGUUGUGUUUUGUUUUGUUUCUUAGCAAUCAAGGAUCUGCUUUUGAUUUUGGGGAGCUGGAGGAAGCAAUUGUUCUGCAUGGAGUUAAGAGUAGAAAUGAUGAGGGCAAAACAUGUAUGUUUUCCGUUUCCAUCACUUAUGCUUCUUUUUUUUUUUUUCUUUUCUUUUUCUUUCUGACGUUAGAUAAGCAUAACCAACUCUUUCCAAAAGCAGAGAGAAAAAAGGGUGAAGGAUAAGAGGUUUGAAUAUGUCUAAAGAAUGCACAGUGUGGGGGGUUACCAUUUCCGAUACAAUAAUGAUUCUGAGACAAUAGACUUGGAUGGCGUGGGGUUACAAUCUUAGAAACUGACCUCUUUUGCAUGAUUUUACUGACUCCAUAACUGCUGAAAAGUUGAAUUUGGGAUUAGGUUCCUCUGCCUAUUUAUUUAUUUAUUGCUGUUAUUAUAAUUGAAAGUCCUCAUGGUCUUUUUAUUUUGGUAAUCUUCAACUCCUUCAAAUUUGGUGAUCCUCUUAGAGAUUUUGCUUUUGUGAUUCUUGCAGCUUUAUUCACAGCCAGACCUGCAGCUACACUGGAAAUGUUCCCUUCAUGGCCAAUGAGAUUCCAGCAAACCCCAAGAGUAGUACUAGUCUUCCUACUUGUCCAUCUUUGACCAUUUAUUUAAACAUGCUCUUAGUAUGCUUACAAGUUCAAGAAAUCUUAAUUUUUUUUUCUUUCCUUGUGAAAAUGAUAUUGUCCAAAUCCUAAGCCUUGCAAUUUUGAUAAUAUAUAGUAUGUGAGGUGAUUUUUAUUUUUUUUAGUUGAAUUUUCUGAAUCAAAUUCUUCUUUUUUUUCUUUUGGUGGCUUUUCAUAUACAGAGUGGUUCAAAGUCAGGAGGGGAAAGCACUGAUUCAGGUCUUUCUAGCAAAACUGAGCCCCCCUUUGAGGCAGAAUCUCCCAUAAGCAAAAAGGCAUCUUCUUCAGAUCAUCAUCAUCAGUCUUUUGAUCAGCAGCAUCUGCAGCAUAGACAGCAACUUCAACAGGAGAUGGCAAGUGAUGCCCCAAGAUCAGCCUCUUCACAGAAUCAAUCAGCAGCCAAAUCACCUCAAGAAAAGGUCUCUCUCUCUCUCUCUCUCUCUUUCAGGCUCUUUUUCUUUUAUUUAUGUCUCACACAAGUAAUUUUUUUAAACACAAAUUUAUUCAAAGAUUAAAUGUAUACACUUCUCUCAAUAAGUGGCAGUCUAAACAUUAAUUCACCAUAUUGUGCAAGACUAGUGUCUUCUAGGAGACUAAACUCCAGUUGGUUCCUCAAUAGAGUCUAGGCCUCAAGAAAGGUUAUUAAAACACUGUUUUUCCACUGUUAAUCUCUCAGUUCUCUCUUUCCAUAUCCCCAAAACACGGGGAAAGUUGGCCUUUUAAAUGCUAUUUUUACUGUUUUGAUCUGUCCCUCCUCUCUCUCUCUCUUGUGUAUCUUCACAAAGAAGGCACAGAUCCCAACAGCUUUCAGAAAAUCAAAAGAACACAGAGUUUUCCUGAUUCCUGAACGAUUUUCUGAUGAAUGUCUGACAUGAAAUAUGAUAGAGAUAUAGAGAGAGGGAUGUGGACAAAGUACGAACAUAAAACAAAUUGAGAAUCUUUUCAGUAUUUAUCAACGCUUCUCAUUAAAGUGACCCCCUCACUUGGCUCAAUAUAGAGAAAACUUGUGUUCUUCUCUAGAGUCAAAUUUGGAGCUCGGAUUCUAAAACCACAGCAAUAGCAUACACCAAAACAAUGGCAGAUAAUGAUGCUUUUUGCUACCCUUAUCAUAUUGAUGGUUGCAUGCCUCUAGAGAAAUGGUCCAAGGGGCCUCAGGAUUCAGAAAUGCUUCCCAGAGUGAGCACUCUAAUAUAUCAUCUUUUGUUUCGGAUUUAAAGUUUACAACCUCUCUAACUCUAAGCUAGGAUGAUUGAAGCUGAGUAAUGCUUAACAGUUUUCUUCUUUUCCCUCCCUCAUUUAUUUGUUUACCAAUAUGGUCAAAUUCGCAUUUUUCUGGUUUGUUAAUUGUAGUCCAAAGUUCAACACUGUGUUGAGCAAAUAAACAUUAGUGUUCAUCUCUCUAUUUUCAUUUUCUUUCCUUUCUGAAAUCAUCAAUGUCUUUCAAAUAAUGAUUUUUUGGUCAUUUUUCUUGCAGAGAAAGGGAGAUGGUUCUACUUCAGAGAAACCACUUGAUGCAAAGGUUAUUUAAUAAUUUUCCAAACUCUUUUUUUUUCUUUACUGUAUCUUUUUUUAUUUUUUAUUAUGUGGAUUUACGUAGGAUCUAAGGUAAGAUAUUUUUUGUUGGUCUCAGGCAUUGAGACGUUUAGCUCAAAACAGAGAGGCUGCAAGGAAAAGCCGUCUCAGGAAAAAGGUGAGUCCUACAUAUAUUGUUGUACAAAUUCAACUACUUGUUGAGAAAUAACACUUAUAUUGUUGCAGAAAGUGGAAACUAAAAAGAGCUUUAAAUUUCACUGCAUUUUGUUUCUGUGUAUGGAAUAGGCUUAUGUGCAGCAGCUAGAGUCAAGUAGAUUAAAGCUUACCCAGAUAGAACAAGAACUUCAAAGAGCACGCUCUCAGGUUCUCAUGUCAUGAAUUAGUAUUAUUAUAUAUUUUAAUUUUUUUACUAUUAGUGGUUAAUAUUAUUUGAGCUGUUAAUUUAUAGGGCUUGUUCGUGGAUUAUGGAGGUGUUGGAAGUACUGUAAGCUCUGGUGAGUUUAUUUGAUACUUUUUUUUUGUUGAUUUUUAAAUGCAGUGCCACUUUCUAAUUCCUCAAACUCAGAAAGAUAAAAGAGGAUAAUGCCAUAAUAUUUUACAAAGUAUACAUCUUUUGAAUACCAAAUAAAAUUCAAGAUUUAAUGAAGCCUCUGCAUAUAUUUGACCAAAAUCUGUGGCUAAAUAAUUCGUGUUUGAAUAAUAAAAACAAUAUGCCAAUGUCAGAAUCAGAUAACGCUAACAUAUUUUAUGUCUAGUUGUACGACCUUUUCUUAACAUAUUAUAUAAAACUAUAAAAGGCUACUUUAUAUGCUUCGGCUUUUCAGAGAAGAUAAUUAUUCCAUUCUGAUGCUGCUCUUUUCGACUCCUGGUAAAAUAAUACGGUCUUUGAGGUAAAAAGUUAACAACAAAUAAAGUAAUAAUAAUAAUUAAUUGUCAUUAAUAGAAACACACUUUCUAACGAAAAGGAAAUGCACUACAUACAUAUUAUGAUUAUCAUUAUGCAAAUGGUGCCGGGUCUGUUUCAUUCGUGGUCACAUUGCACUAGUCACCAAAUCAACCAACAUUUUAAUAGUAGUUAAAAACAUUGUAACAUUAUUAAUAUGCAACACAUGUAUAAAAUAUACAUGACUAUAAAAAAUACAAGAAAGCAAACAGAUUUGAACCGGCACCACUCAUAUUGUAGUUUAAUGUGAUCAUAUACAUUAUCAAUAAUGGCAAUUAUUGAUUAAGUAAUUGUAAGAAUAACAAGAAGGGUUUUGUUAUGUUAUGUAGCAGGAGCCGCAAUGUUUGACAUGGAAUAUGCAAGAUGGUUAGAAGAAGAUCACAGGCUAAUGGGGGAGCUGAGGAACGGGUUGCAAGCACCGUUAUCAGAUAGUAAUAUGAGAGUGAUGGUGGAUGGAUAUCUUUCUCACUAUGAUGAAAUUUUCAGGCUCAAGGUUGUGGCUGCUAAAUCAGAUGUGUUCCACCUUAUCAAUGGCAUGUGGACUUCCCAAGCUGAACGUUGCUUCCUCUGGAUUGGUGGUUUUAGACCCUCUGAUCUCAUCACGGUGUGUACACUAGUCUAUACAUCAAUUACAUACAAGUUAAAGUGUAUUGUAUAUGUAUUUAGAGCAUAUACAGAAUAGUCAAUAAAGUAACAAUGAGAACAAUAUAUAAAUAGUAAUAGUGACCAAGAGUGGUAAGGUUGUGGAAUCCAUAUUAUUACUUAAUGUAGUAAAGAUUAUUAAUUGAAUAAAAAAAAAUCUAUUUAAGAAAAGACAACGAGCAUGCUAAUGUAUUUGGCGAGUCAUUUUCUUUUCGUUUUGGAAAUUGGGGGUGUCAUUUUUUGAACAAAGAGAUAAAUAACUUUUUCGGUAACAGCAUUGUUUUGCUGUUAUUAGAAACUUGUCCCAUGUCAGUUGUUGUGGGCAGUGAAUAACUGUUCCAAUGUCGCAGGGAAAUCUCGUUGUUUCAGCCAAUAAUUACUAAUUAUAAUUAGCAUCAACGUUAAGGGUUUUAAUUUUCUUUUAUCUUAUUACUCACUUUGUUUUUCUUUUCUCCUUAAUUAUAUUAUUUGUUCAUCUUUUCUCUUUGUUUCUCUUCCUACAUAACUAACUGUGACAAGGAUAAUAGUCAAACAACUAACAUAAAUAUUUUUUAUUAAAAGUAUAAUAACAUUAAAUAAUAUAAUUCUUAAUGUAUUCAACAGCAAUAUUAUUAUUUUUUGGAUGGUCAGAUGUUGAUUCAACAGUUGGAGCCACUAGCUGAGCAACAAAUAAUGGGGAUGUAUGGCUUGAGGCAUUCCUCACAGCAAGCAGAAGAAGCACUCUCUCAGGGCCUUGAGCAGUUGCAACAGUCUCUUGUGGACACCAUAGCUGGAGGCCCAGUUGUUGAUGGUGUUCAACAAAUGGUCCUUGCCAUGAGCAAGCUUGCCAAUCUUGAAGGAUUUGUUCGCCAGGUAAAUUAACUUUUAAAUUGCACCUGCAUUUAGCAACACAUUCUUUAAUAUUUUUUUAUAUAAAUAAUAUAUUUAAAAGAAUAUAUUGUUAUUUUUUUUUUAACUUUUUGCUUAUUUUGACUUGAGUGAUCACAUUUUUCUUUUUCUUCUUGGGUGAGUUAAAUACUUUUACAAGUACAAAAUUUGGUGGUGAGGUUGACGUAAAGCCUCAUAGUGACCCGACAUCUGUGGGUGUUGCAAUUUCUGUUUGACUAAUGAUUUCGUAAGCUUUUGUCAAAAUUAGAUUUGAAUGUGCGUGUGACUUGUCAAUUUUAAUUAUUUGGGUUUAGAUACUAAUUAUAAACUUCAUAGUUGAAAACGGAAGCCACGUUAAUUAGACUAGGGCAAUUGCUUCUUUUACCUUCUUUUGACUUUUGAUUUUUUUUUCAUAGGAUAGUUAUGACACUUUAUUAUGCUUUAACUGUUUUCAUUUUUUGCUUUGUUAUAUAUGAAUAUACAAAUAACUAGCUAGGUCUUAAUUAAUUAUCUUCACUUCUUGGUCGUCACGUCUCUCUAAGUAUAUAUUGUUUCCUGGCACAUUAGUUAAAUAAGCGGAGAUAUGUAUUGCUUUCGAUUGCUUAUAAGUUAUAACGUUCUCGUUCAUCAAAAUAUUGGAUUCUAGUUCUAGGCAUUUGAUGUACUUUUUCCAUUUUAAAAUGUCUUAGUCAGAAGUUGGUUUUAGAAAGCGAUGGCUAAUGUUGAAUCAUAAACCCUCGGUAGAAUUAUCAUCAUUGCUAUUUUAAAAGACAAUUUCUCAAGUGUUUUCUAAUUUUUUUGAGGAAUUUAUAAUUAAUUAAAUUCUAGGGUUAUAGAAGAAAAUAAAAUGCAUUACUUUAUUCAAUAAUUAGCAACUGUCAAUUAAGUUUAUUGAUAAGACUACCUCACCAAAUAUUGUAUAAUUGUUAAAUUAUUUAACAAUCCCAGAAUCUGAAUUGGAUAAUUAAUUUUAUAAUUGUUAAAUUUAAUAUAAUAAUAUUUUAAUUUUAAUUUAACGGCUUAUAUACAAUAUCACUCGCUAUAUUACAUAUUCUUAAUAAAGUAUUGUAACAUUUUUUUUUUAGAAUACACAAGAGCUUUCUCUUAUAGGAGAGCCAUCUUAUAUGGUAGCAGGUGGGGAUUAAUUCCUUGUUCGAUACAAGAUACUGGUUAAGCAAGAAUUAAUGCUACACUUUUUUGUUGUUGUUGAGACACUGUGCUGUUGAAACUUGCAAGAGAUGCAAAAGAUAAAUAUUAACCUUUGAAUUAUAUAUAAAUAAUUAAAAUUAAAACCUUAAAUCUCACAUGAUUAUUUUAAAAUUUAGAUGAAUCUAUAUUUUAAUUUCAAAUUUUUUUUAUUAAUAUAUGCAGACAUAGAGUCAUAGACAAAUGCAUCAAUUCUUAACUUAUUAACUUCCAUAAACUUUUAUGAAUUAAAGGCUGAUAAUUUGAGGCAGCAAACUCUUCAUCAGCUAUGUCGAUUACUCACAGUUCGUCAAGCCGCACGAUGCUUCAUUGUUAUUGGAGAGUACUAUGGACGUCUUCGUGCCCUUAGUUCUCUUUGGGCAUCAAGACCACGAGAGUAAGUUAGAAUUUAUUUACUUAUUAUUAUUAUUUAAUCGGAAAAUAGUUUUAAAGAUAGAAGAAUGAAGUACUUUCUAAUUUCAUUGAGUCACCGGUUUUUUCUUUAUGGAGCAAAGAAUUGCCAUAAUAUACCAUUUUUCGUUUUUCUUUGAUGUUUAUACUUCAUACCACUUUUAGAGGUAAAAAAUAAUAAUUAGUUGGAGUAUUUGAUUGCUUCCGCCAUAUUCUUUCUUCUUAUUGACAUUUUGAUUUUAUUUUAAGUUUAUAUGUAUAUAACUUCUAUUAUGGUCCAUAUACACUAAUUUUCUUUUGGGAUAUUCAAACAGGACCUUGAUCAGCGACGAUAACUCAUGUCAAACAACUACGGAAAUGCAAAUAGUCCAACAUUCUCAGAAUUAUUUCUCAAGUUUCUGAGAGAUAUAAUUAAAACCCAUUAGCCUGAAAGAAGCUUCCUAGCCAUAAUUAAGUGGAUUUCGUUGGGCUGCUUUACAAAUGAAUGCCAGCGUCUCCUAGAAGAAAAAUAUUUAUUUAUUUUUCUUUUCAAUCUUCUAUGUUCUCUUGUGUCUUUAUGUUUUAUUGUAAAUGUAAAUCUAGGUUUUAUGUGCAUGAUGAGGCUUUAGCUGAAGAGAAAUAGAAAAAAAAAAGUUUGAGUUUAAGAGAAGGUGCACGUGGCAUGGAUGUAGAUAAAGUCUCCAUACAAUUGACUCUAUCUUCUAGUUAGCUAAUGGCUUAUUUUUCUUCUAAAUUUUAAUAUAUUUAUAAUUUAUAUAGACCUCACAUCUUGAUUAAUGACUUUAAAAAUAUAUAAGGUUGGAAUGUUUUUGGGAAAUAGUGAAAAAAAAGAGAGGAAGAAGCCGUUGCAUAUAUAUAAAAGCGGAGUAUCUGUCUAUAUAUAUUUAAGAAAAUUUCACUUUAACCUUUCAGAUUGAAAUUUUAACUUUAUAAUAGUUAUUUAUCUGACUUAAUCUGUAAUCUUUAUUUUAACAUUUUUUAUAUCAAAACUUUAAUUAUAUAGUAGUUAUUGAUAUGAUUCAAUGUGAUUUAACAUUAAUGAAGAAUUAUCAAUUUUUAAAACUUAAGCUUUUAUAUUUUUUAUAAAAAAUAAUUAUGAUUCAAUGUGUUUUGAUUUGCUAUUAUUACUUUUUUUAAUACAUGUUAUUAUUAUUUUUUUUAUUUUUAUCUUUUAGGCAUUUAUAAAAUAAUAAAAAAUGUAGUUACUCCAAAAUAAUAUAUGUUCUCACUUCUUUAUUGAUAUUGCUUUAUUGUUCUGAAUAGUAAUAAUGAUAUAUAAUUUUAAUUAUACUAAAUGAAAGUGUUUAAUUUAUGACGUGAUGAAAUUAGUCAAUUCAAAUCUUCAAUAUUAUCAUAUAAUAAAAGUUCAUAUCUUUAAAAUUAUUAAAAAUAUUAUUUUAAAAUAGUUAACAACUAUAUUUAUUUAAUAAAAAUCACACUAUUUCAAUAAAUUUAAAAUAAAAUAUAAUUUUUAUAGUAAAUAUAUAUAAAAAUUACUACACAUUAACAUUAUAUAAACAAUAAAUAAAAUAAAUAGUCAAAUUCUAAUAAUACUUUUUCAUAUAGGAAAAUAGACUUGAAAAUAAAAAAAAAAUAUUUAAUCAUACUUUUUUUUCUUCAUAUUGAUUUAUGUGUAAAAAAUUAUAUAAUUGUGGAAUUACUCACAACAUUAUUAUGUUUUUCUUUUCAAAACCAUUAUUAUGGUUAUGUUUUAUAAAACUAAACUCAGUUUUAGAGAAGUUGUUUACAUGCGCUAAAAUUACGCUUAAUUGCUCUGAUGCGGUGCUUCCACUUCCAAAUUCUCACACGGAGAUUAAAGGGCUCUUUGUGCACUUACGAAUUAAAUUGGGUCCGGCCCAAUAUCUUCCCUAUGUUUAGCCGAUAGUCAAAAAAACGUCCAUAGUCCAGCAGCUAACAAUAUAAAGCCGACCAACUGAAAUUGCUUUCAGCACCUUCAUAAUUACUUCCUGCACCAUUCUGGAUUAGGUGCAUGAAGCAAAGAUUGAGGUGCACGAAGAAAUUUUCAUCCCCAAUUCACUUAUAACCGAACAACACAAUAAAGCAAGUUUCACCAUUCUAACCUUUCAGUUGAACCGAACACAACCUUUAUGUUAUUCCAACAGUCUCAUUAGAACUUAGAAGGGUAGUCAAUUGAUAAGAAUAAUAAUACAUUCAUUUAUUUUUAAUUUGCAAAUAAUAUCUAAAUAAGGAUAAAAUUUAAGCAAAAUAAAUUAUAAUUAUUUUUAAUACAAGCAGGGAAAUUAAACUUAACUGGCUGAGAUACUUAAUAUUUAUAACCCUUAAAAUAUUUAUAAACUAUUUAUGCAGCAGAAUAAUAAUAUCAUGUAUCCUCUCUUAUUUUCCUAUUGUCCAUAUAUUUCCGAAUGUACUUACAUUUUAAAUUUUAAUAAACGGUUGAGGUGUAUCUUAGAUAAUACAGAUACAUUAUUUAUUUUUUCCACAUGUGUAUGCUAAUUUUUAAUCCUUGCUGUUGAUGCUUGUUCACCAGGAUGCGCUUAGAGGCCUCCUCAUUGCCCUCAAAUUUUCUGUCCUCUUUUGAGCCAUUGUUGUGUGCUUUCUCUGAGAAAUCUGCAUAGUUGCAUGAUAAUUACACAGUGAUUUUAACUUAAUAUCCAUGCAAUAACUUAUAUUUGAAAGAUAACCACUAACCUCUUGUUUUCUCUUGCGUUCAGCUUCAGCCUGGCAGAUUUAAAUGAAGAUAAAGUAUGUUAAACAUCAAAAAACAUAAUUCAUUAAGGAAAAAAAUAUGAACAAGAAUCUUCAAUUUCAAUAUUGUCUACCAGAGUUUGUUUGAGCUUUUCGUUCUCUUCCUUUAGCAGAUUCAACUCUGCUUCUAGUUCCACCGUAUAUGCCUGCCUUACAAGAUUUUGACAUCAGGGAAAAGACCUUGAAUAAUGUGCAUAUAUAAGAUAGAAGUAACAUAGCUCAUGUAACUAACAUAGCACACAAAAUGAACAAAAAAUGAUUAGAUGAAAUAUGGCGUACCAUACUAAGUUACAUGACUAAUAACUAACAAGCAUAUCAGAUUGAUCUAUAAUAAAGACUAGCUUAUGAUGAGCACAAAACCUGUCUUCGUGCUCGAGAACGUGCAGCUGAUUCUCGAUUCUUCAACAUUCUGCGCUGCCUUCUCUCUACUACCACUUCAGGAGGACCAUCAAUGAUCCUCUUCCUAUUACCCUUCCCAUUUGAUUCUCCCAAGCUUGGACAUUUCUCCACAGCACCAUUUGUAGUGAGAUCCUUUACAACUAAGUUGUUAUUCUGUGCCAACAUGUUUUGUGUUUCAAGUCCAUUACAAGACACACUAGAUCCUGUCCCUAUUACAGGCCUCAACCUAUAACCUGCACCCAAUGGUCCAUUACUUGCAAUGUUACCAAUCUGAUUCUGAGGUAAUAAUGAAGACUUGAAUAGUGAUGAUGAUUCUUGUACCACCCCAGCUUUUACUAGGAAAUCCUCUAAAGUCAUUUCCCCAAGUGUUUGUUGCCUUUUGAGUAGUGGCUCAUUCCUUGCAAGGCUAUUGUUAGCAUCAUUGUGGUCUGGUUGGCUUUUGUGGAUCUGAGACCAAACUUCAUCCACUGUUUUCUUGCAAAUUGGAGGAGGGACAGAUAAUGAGCCUGGCUGGGAAAUUGUGGUGGGUUCUGUUGCUAUUACACUUUUACCCUUCGCAGCUUCAUCAAGGGUUGGUAGUGGUGGGUUAACUUGGUUGUUAUCAUCUGAGUUCCAAAUGCUGGAAAGGAAUUCAUCCAUGUUCAUGGAACCUAAGCUCUUCCCAUUCUUGCAAUAGAACUCAUCAAGGGUGAGUGAGAGUAUUGAGUUUUGUUUGCUCAGUUGAGAAAAUGUGGCUUCUGGUUCUUGCAAUGGCACCUCUUGAUUUGGUUGUUGGAGAGACAUGUGUUUGUAUAAAGCUGCAAAUUCUUGGAACAACCUGCCAUAAGCAACAGCUUUUGUCUCAGAAACUACCAUUAUUUAUUGCAAAAAAGAAAAAAAGACAGAGAAAACUUCAUGAACUCUCAGAUUUAAAGUUCUUAAGAAAUUGAAGUGCAUCAAAUCAAUGACUUGAAUUUAAUUUUAACAAAUCUGCCUGAGUAUUCAACCAACCCCCCUACCCCCCCAGAAGAACAAUAAAGAAAGAAAAAGAGAAAAUUAAUAGUAAGACACAAAUUUGAAAGAUAAACAAUUAAAUCUAAAAAAAAGGAAAAUGUAAUAGAUAAUUCACAUUGCGUAUCAGAUAAUUCAGAUGCUGUAAUUGAUGCUCUGAUAGGAUUAUAUCACCAAAUGACCAGUUGCAUGCAACAUGCAAACAUGCAUCUGAAUAUGAUCCACAUGAAAGAACAAGGUAAAGGGAAAGAAAUAUAAGCAAAACCACAUAAUGAACUUGGAAAAGGAAAAUAAAACUAAAAGCAAGGGUACCUGAACACAAACAGAAGGGAGAAUCUGAAUUCUAAAACAGAGAGAUUUGGAAUUAGAAAAUAUCAGAGAGAAAAGAAGGAACACCAACAGAGUGAAAGAAAGGGAGAGUGAGGAGAAGGGAAGGAAUGGUAACAGUGCAAAGAGACAGAGACUUUAACUGCCAUUGGUAACAUUUAAAACAACAUUUCUUUCACUCAGUUUAGAGCAUUACUUUUUCAUUGACAGUUUGACACGUUCUGCGUCAUCAACCGUUUUCACCUUGGUAUCUCACUGAAAGCGUUUUUAACUUUUUAUUUCCAUUUUUUUUAAGUCAAAGCAUCUACCCUCUUUUAAUGUCUCUUGUCUUUUUCUUUAUCUGUGAAUAAAAAAAUAGUAUUAUUUAAUGAAGAUUUUUUUUUUACAAAAAUAAUGUUAUUUUAAGAAUAUUUUAAUAGAAAAAAAUUAAUAGUCCAUAAAAAGUAUUAUUUAAAAAAGAGAAAUUUAUUUAAUGAAGUGUCACUUUUUCAAUUAGUUGAAUAGAUAAAGGUAAAUUAGAAUCCGGGGGAGGUUAUAGAACUUUUCUCUUUGGUUCACAUUGGCUAAGUAUUUAGUAUGAAUAAUGUUUUGUGAAUACUUAUUUGUUAAUAGAUAUUAAGAAAGAAAUCAACGAAUCUACAAUUUUUUAUGAUAUUCAAUUUCUAUGAAAAAAGAUAGAAGGAAAAAAAAUAUAAAUAUGAUGGAAUAAGAAAAGAAAAAAAAAUUGUGACGAAUAAGUAUUAAUACUAUUUAGUUGUUGAAUGUUGGUGUAUUACUGUUGUUCUAGUAUCUAACCAAUGCAUGCCCGUAAAUCGGUGUUAAGCAACCUCGGAGUUACAUUUUUUUGUGAUGUUAAGACUGAUUCGUGAAUUUAAAAGAAAUUUUAAAUUGUAAGAAUUUUAAAUAUUUAAAUUGAAAUUCUUUUAUUUUUAAAAUUUUUUGUUUGGAUAAAGAAAAUUAAAAUUAUGAGGGUGAAAAUAAAUAAAUGAAAAAAAAGAAAAGAUAUGGUUAGUGUGCUAGUUAUACGUGUUUCUUUAUGCCCACACUCGAUCGAUGGUCUAAGAAGAGAAUUUCAAUUUCUCAUAUUUUAGAAGGAAAUUGAAAUUCCAGAUUUUUAAAUGCUUAAAAUUAUGUUUAAAAAUUUUAAAUUCUUCACAAAAAAACAUCCAAAUAAUGAAGUCUAGAUUACAGAAAUUCAAAUUCUCUGAUAAAUUAUUUUCCCCACUUAACAUUCUCUAUCUAAGAGUGUGUUUGGAUGAGAUAAUUUUAAAUUUUGAGAAUUUCAAAUGCUUUAAUUUAAAUUCUUUUAUUUGUAAAAUUUUGUGUUUGAAUACAAUCUCUCUCUUCAAAAAACUAAAUUUUGUGACAUAUUUGUUUAAUAUAAUGAAUUAUUUAAAUGCUAACAUAUUCAAUAUUUUAUUUUAGAAACAAUAAAAUAAUACAGUGGUAUGAAAAAAUAUAAACAUAAAUAGUUUAAUUUAAUUAUUUAAUAAAUUAUUUUAAAAAAUAAAAUAUUAUAUAUAUUUAAUAAUUUCAUUUAUAUAUAUAUAGUCAAUUACCCGGCCCACACAUUUAACAGAUUUGACACAUAUUGAAUCAAAUUUAACUAAAACUCACUAAAUUAAUAUCGAACUAAUUGAAUUGAUUUUCACACCUGUGAACAUAGGCAAAAAUAUCAAAUGAAGUUCAUUUUCCAAAUUAUUUACCUAAAUGGGUCAAUUUUGAAAUUAUUUAUCCCAUGGGUCCAUUCCAUUUUUUUUAUUACAAGGCGCCUCCCAAAGGACGCGUUUCCCGUGAAGGUGACACGUGACAGGACAUUACAGACGCGACAGGUAGUGCUACUGCAGCAUGUUGGGUCGUGUUGGGGAGCCAGGCACGACGGGUCGUGCUGGGACCCAGGCAUGACCCAGUUGGAUCGCACUUUAUUUAAUAUUUAAAUAUUAAAUAAAUCAUUAAUAUUAGAAAAAAAUAAAAAAAAUAUUAAAUAAAAUAUAAAAUAUAAAAAAGUAAAAAAUAUUAAAUAAAAUAAUAUAAAAAUAUUAUAAAAACAAUAUGCAAAAAUAUAAAAAAUAUUUACUGAAAUAAUAAAAAAUAUUAUUUUAAAUAAAAUUAUUUAUGACUUUAAACUCUAAAAUUGAAUUUUAAAAAAAUAUAUUUUUUUUACGAUUUUAGUAUAAAAAAUAAAAAAUAAUUUUUGGUAAUAAGAUAUUUUCAUCGGCAUUUAAAGUAAUAAGACAUUUUCAUAAAAUUAUUUUAAAUAUCUUAUUAUGAAUUUUUUUUAUUUUUUUCUAAAAUCGUAAAAAAAUUAUAUUUUUUUAAAAUUCAACUUUAGAGUUUAAAGUCAUAAAUAAUUUUAUUUAAAAUAAUAUUAUAUUAUUAUUUUAUUAAAUAUUUUUAUAUUAUUUUAUUUAAUAUUUUUUACUUUUUUAUAUUUUAUAUUUUAUUUAAUAUUUUCUUUAUUUUUUUUCUAAUAUUAUGGAUUUAUUUAAUAUAUAAAUAUUAAAUAAAAUAUAAAAAAUAUACUAAAUAAAAAUAAUAUAAAAAAUUAUUUAUGACUAAAAUCAUACAUAAUGCUAAGAAUUUAUUUAAUAUAGAAACUAUUAAAUAAAAUAUAAAAAAUUAAAUAAAAUAAUAUAAAAAUAUAUUAAAUAAAAACAAUAUACAAAAUAUAAAAAAUAUUAAAUAAAAUGUGUCCCAACUGGGUCAUGCUUGAGCUCCCAACACGACCCACGUGCCUACUACAGCAGCACUAUCUGUCGCGCCUGUACGCAGGACGCGUUCCAUGUCCUGCCACGUGUGACCUUCACGGGAAACGUAGCCUUCGGGAAAGCGCUUUGUAAUAAAAAAUAGAUCCAUGGGAUAAAUAAUUUUAAAAUAGACCCAUUUAAGUAAAUAAUCUGUAAAAAGAACUUCAUUUGAUAUUUUUGCCUGUGAACAUCCUUAUAAUCACCUCAAGUCACCAUUUGAUCUAUCCGGUGAUUUUUUGUUGUCGACAUAAUCUAACGGAUGAUUAUUUAAGCCAAAAUCUAAUUAUUUCAUAUUCAGAAUAUAUUGAUACAAACCCGCAAUUAUACCACCUUUUUCGUUUUCUCAACAGAGAGAGAAUCUUUCGGAGUUCGAUCGUUUGCGUGUGCUGUGUGAUCAGUCACCGAUGGCAGCACCACCUGCGAGGGCACGUGCCGAUUACCAUUACCUCAUCAAGCUUCUUAUUGGCGAUUCAUUAGUUUGGAGACUCUUCAUUUUAGUUAUGUUUAUGUUUUUUAAACCUGGAUUGAAUGCUAUUAUCUGGUUAAUUGUCUAAGAUGAGGCAAUGGCCACAGGAUGAUAUACACGGUCAACUUAUUCAACUGUUUAGGGAGGAAAAGUAAUAAAGUAUAGCUUCACAUAAAUUUCUCAGUAAACACUUAUAGUGAAGGAAAUAACAAGUUACAAUGAAUUAAGUUUCUCCCAAGUUAAAAGUAACUUAUGCAUAAGUUAAAAUCAGUUUUUGGAUAAAUCGUUCCGAGAGAGCUUCUAUAAAAGUUUAAGUGGAUAAGUUGAUUUUAACUAAUGAUACAAGCUUAAUUCAUUUAGUGGUGUUUGAAGUGUCCAACAUCUUUUAGAAAGUAUACAGAAUUGGGUAAUAUUUCACCAUGGAAAUUUCAUAUUUUCAUUUUAUUUUGUUGUACUGCACUAUAUGUGUUAUUCUGAAGCUGAAAAUUAUAUUCUUACUUGUGAUCAGUGUUACUGGACUUGAAGAUCCCGAUUGUAGAUGAUUAGCGCAGCAGGUGGUGUUUGAAGAUUUCUGUGUGUUUUCCUUUCUGAUAAGUUCACAGUGAUGUCUAGUUUAAGCUAUAUAUGACAAACAUGGUGCUGUAAUCUUCGGAUAUUAAUUUGUAUAGUUUGCUCCUUUGUUUAUUUGACCUCACGUGUUUUUCUUAUCAUAAGUUGUUUAAAAAGUGGAAAUGUAUGAUUUACUUCUUUAUUUAUUUGAUAUAUGGUGCAUACAGGAAGCCAAAAACCAUUGCCUCGAAUGUCUUUCACUACAAAUUAUUCAUAAUAAUAGACAAUGUCCAAUAGGAAUCAAUUAUGGUUGUUAGUUUCAACCAGGUGAAGUACAUGGCGGCGAAGGAACUAUGUUUGUGAACAACCCAAAACCAUUUUCUCUUUCAAUUACUCCCACCCAUUUCCCCUCCUUUAUAUUUAAUCUACUCUUCUCUUUUUAUUUGUGAUAUUUUGAAGGAAUUCAUGUUUUUGAUUCUGGGAUCCAAGAUUUUAAUGCAAUGUACCUCUGGUACAACAUGUUGCAUAAUGUCUCCGUGGUCCUAAUCAAAAGCAUGUACUGUAACUAUGAAGGCCAAAAUUAUUGUAGCCAAAAGUCUCGCUGAAAAUCCAAAACAAACCAGGAAGGGAAUAACAGUAGCAGAUUACUUUUUCAAUAUUGAAAAAGAAAGUAAUAAGAAUGAAAAAUGAAAAGGUAGUCUUAUUCAAAACCCCAACCAAUUAUGAAAUCUCCUAUCACCCACUUCCCACACACUGUUCUUUCACAGAGAGAGAGGCGCUUUCACAUCUUCACAUCUUCUUAGGCUGAGAAGAAAAAAUAUUUCCAUUUUUUAGAAUACUUCGGAAACAGAUAUCCACUGGAGAUGAAGGGGUGGGGCCUUUAGCUACAUGACAGAUUGACUUCAGAUGGUAGAACUAAGUCAAUUUAAUCCAAGGGCUUGCUUUAUUUACAUAAGGAACAAAAUCUAUUAGCAUUUGGAGGUCUCGUGAGCUCAUAGCAGUGUGUAUUUAGUUCACAUUACUUUUAUAUAAAAAAGGUAAAAUUAUACUUUUGGUUCUUCACUUUAGGUUCAAUUUCACAUUUGUUCUCUGAUAAUUUAAUUCACGAAUUGAGUCUUCCUGUUUUAUAAAAUUCUACAUCUUAGUCCCUGAAAUCUCAAUUGAAGUUUGACUGUUAAGCUCAAUAUUGACUGUCACGUGUAAUAAAUUGGGGUUUAUCAGGACCCAUACUUCGGGCUUCUGGAAUAUAAUGAGAUCUCCACAAAGUGAAUAAUUAUGAAUGUUAUGAAGAAGUUCAAUGGCAAAAAGAAGGAGAUUCCUUAACUGUUAUUUAGUUCGAAUUGGUGAAAUGAUGGAAUCCAUAAAAAUUAUUCAACAGGCUUUGAAAGGAAUUUUCGGUGGACCAUAUGAAAAUUUAGAAAUUUGCUGCUUUGAUAGAAAAAAAGAGCCAAGAAUGGAAUGAGUUUAAGUAUCAAUUUAUUAGUAAAAAACCAUGUCCGACUUUUGAAUUGUCAAAACAAGAACAACUUUAUGUAAGAAUUGAAGCCCCCAAAGGAGAAUUGAGAACUUUUCUAAUAGGGGAUCAAAGUCUGAGAGACUCUUGAAAAUUUUUAUUUAUCUAUGGUGAAACACUUACCCAAUUUCCUCUAACCCUAAUCCCUAACUCAGUCCCACAAAUUCUAAAACUAAGUCCCCCUAACCCUAAUUCUGUCACUCCUUGGUCAAACACAGCGCGUAGAGCGCAGUCGCCGCCUCCUUCUUCCCGUGCAAUCCCCCUCCUUCUAGAAGCUUCACCAGAUGCGGUCCCCGCCUUCCUUAUCACUACCUUCUCUUCCUCCCUGUUGUGCGAUAAACGAACCAAGGUGCACGUCGCGUUCUCCUUUGCCGUCAUCGUCCCUCUCUCCAGCGCCGCCACCAACGCCUUCACCGCUCCAUGAGAAGCGAUGAGCUCCUUGUUCUCGUCACAGAGGGAGAGAUUCAGAAUUGCGAUCACCACGUAGUCCUGAAGCUGAAGGUCUGAUGAUGGUAAGAGUGAAAUCAAGGGCUAAAUGGUGCCGGCUUUUGUGAUUAUGGGGCGGUUGUCUUGCUUGUUUUCGGUUUUUUUUUUUUGGAAAACUUUAGAAUGAGGGAAACUCACCAGAACAGAAGGAAAGGAAAAGUAUAUUCCGCGGAGUGUUCCCGACGCAAAUUGAUGUCUCCAAACGCAGUGUUAGAUUUCAAUCAGUACAACAACGAUUUUCAACAAUAUUGAAGCUGAAACUAGCAACAGGGUUACUGGGGUUAGUGAAAAUGGAUCCAGGAAAGUUUAAAACUUUCUGAGAAUGCCGCUUGUAGAAACGGAAAUGUUAAGGUUGCUGCCAAAACAACAGAAGUACAAAUAUAAUAGAAGGAACUGUUGGUUACUAUCUACUCCAUAUCAAAUGGGUAGGUGUAUCAUAAAAAAAGACAAGCUGUCAUUUUUUGGAGAAAAGAAUAAGGAAAAUAGUGAGAUUUGUACUUUGAAGCCAUUAUUUUAUUGCAGUGUUUCUGAGUUUGAAACUUUUCUGAGAAUGCCCCUUUUUUCACUAUGUAGGAGAUCUGAUCCAGGAAAAGCAGGAGGAAGAUGAAGUUUCAGUGGUCAUUGUUGAAGAUCCAUGGCUUUAGGGUAAUUUUUUAAAAACCAAGCUUUAGGGUUGGGGUAAAAUACACAAAGGUAAAAAUUAUACUAUUAGAGAUUGACACGUGAUAAUCAACAUUGUAUUUUUUUUACAAAAUGAAGGAUCCAAUUAGUAAAUUAAAUUAUGAGAGACCAAAUUCAAAAUUAGACCUAAAGUGAGGAACUAAAAGUGUAAUUUUGUCUAUAAAAAAUUAUCAAUUUUUAAUAAGUUUUUGAAGAAAAUAAAAUUAUUUCCUGAGUUUUUUUGUUUUGAUUCAAAAUAAUGUGCUUACAAAGUCAUUGAUAUUAAGUCAUUUUUGCAAUAAGAAUAUAAGAUAGUGUUUUUCAAAAAAAAUUUAAAAUAAUGCACACUAAAUCGUAUUUUGUAAAAAAAAAAAACUUACUUGUUUACUUUCUUUUCUUUUACAUUUCCAAUUGUAACAGAAAAAAACUGAGGGUAUACCUCAUGACUAUUCUUUACAUGGGUAUUGGGAUUUCAAAACAUUUUUUUAAUAAAAAAUAUUAUGAUAUUCAAUUAAGAUUUUUAAAUGAUAUAAAUAAAUCUUUUAGUAUUUAAUUAAGACUUUUAGGAUUUUUUUAAGAAGUAAAGUAAAAUUUAAUAGUAUUCAAUUAGAAUUUUUUAUAACUUAAAAGGUCUUUUAAUUAAUAUUAAAAAAUAUACAAAUUGUAACGAUUGUGAUAAAUUUCAUUGGAUUUUACCUAAUUUUUUAGUAUAAAACAUUUAUUAAGUAAUCUCAUUAAUACCCUUGAAAUUUUCCUAAACUUUUUCUUUCUUUUUGUAAUAGUUAUCAAACUUUCUUUUAGCACAGGUAUCUUCUACUUUUUUUAAUGCACAACACAAAAAAAAUCUAUUCAAAUGAAAAAGAUAUUGAACAAUUGUUAAAAAAUAAUAUUAUUCAAGAUAUAUAUGUUAUAUAUGUUUGUCUUAUUCUUUUGAAACCAAGAAAUGUCAAAUAUAUUUAUUUCUUUUAUAUCUUUUAUAUUUUUUGUUUGUUUUUUAAAUUAAAUUAAUGUCUCUCUAUUACCUGUAAAAAAAAUAUAAACUAUGUUGAUUUAUUUCUUUUGAAAAAAAAAUAAGACAUCAUCUUUUUAAUCUACUACAGAAAAUUCCAUGAAUAGAUAAAAAAUUGUUAUUCAUAAAAUUUUGAAAUUCGCUUGAAUACUAAUAAUAAUAAUAAUAAAGUGACUACUUAGUAAGUGAUUACAUCAUAUAAUUAUCAAAAUAAAGUGACCCGAAGGGGAAUAUAGGAAUACUGUAAUUAAGAAGACAGCAAUUUUAUAUAUGGCAUGGUUCUGGUCAUCCUGAUAUAGCCAUCCACUCUCCCCAAGCUCAUCUUCCUUAACCAAAAAUUCGUCAGAUUUACACCAUCAUGAACAACUCAUAACUUCCUAAAACACCAUCCACCCGUGCCCCCGUUACAUCGAUGCAGGACCGUUGAAUUCCACAAAGAACAAAACCCAAGUUUUUUUUUUUUGUUUCAACACUUUUUUUGUACAGAUUUUUUUGUUAUACACUGAUACUGAAAUUAGUUAGAAUAUUUAUAACUUAUGUAUAUUUUUCCAAAUCUUUUACUACUUGGUGGAUCCUAGUCACUCAUAAUCUUUUUAUAAGUUAUAUAUCGAUUAUUACAGUACUAAUAAGUUUAAAUAUAUUGUAAUUUUAUUGAUCCAACAACAAAUAAAUCAUAAGAAUAACAAAAAAGGAAAUCAAAUUAUUUAUAUUAUUAUAUAUUUUAAAAGUAUAUAUUUUGUCAAUUUUGAUAUACAUAAAUAAUCUAUCAAUUAAUUUUGUAUUAAUACAAAAUUAUGUAAAUAUGUAUGAUUUAUAUAAAAGUAAUUUUCAAUCUAAGGGCAGUUGAGUAAAAAAGUUAUUCAAUUAAAUUAAAGUUAUUAAAUAAUUAAGUUAGUUGUUAGCUUAUAUUUUUUUAAUGAAUUUAAUAUCUAUAUACUGAUAAUGAUAAUGUAGAAUAAAUUUAUAUUGUCAUUUAAUUUAAAUUAUUUUAAAAAUUAAAUUUUUUACACUGUAUAAAACUUUUUCUCAUAUCAUAUUAACAUUAACUACUUUAAAUUUUAACUAUUCAUAUAUAUGUACUAUGAUUGUUAGUGUUCGUUAAAGAGAUCGAAGUUACCCUAAAUUGCUUAUUUAGAAAACGAUUUGGGUUUAAACUUGGAAAUUCUAUAUAACAAAGUUAUGUGUGAUAUUGUUAAAAAUAUUCUUUAAAUUGUAUAGCUUACAUUGACUUUAGAAGGCAUAUAGACUAUCGCUAUCCUAAUAUUUUAUUCAAUUUUUUUAAUAAUAUAUAGUAAAAAAUACUUUUAAAGAGAUUAUUAAAAAAUAUUAUAUAGGUUAAUAACUAAACUUUUUAAGUGUGCAUAUACCGUGAGUGAGAGCGCGGAGGAGGAUUGAUGAAUGAUAACAUAAAAUUAUUCAAUAAAAAAUAUAAGACCCAUUUUGAUUUAUAUAUAUAGAUAUAUAAACUGAUCUUUCAACGUAUAUAAACAAAUAUAUGGAAGGAUAAGAUUCUUUCUACAUAUAUACUUAUGUCUAAUGAAUGUAUGAGAGGUAAAAGAAUGGUUUUCAUUUUAUAUAUGAAUGGAUAUGAUUGAUUUUUAAAUACAACUUUAAUCAUUCGCCAUUUGUUUAUGAUCAAGAUUAGAUUUUCUCAUACUCUCACACAUGAUUUAUGUGUGUGCAAAGUUUAAGGAAAAUAUACUAACACUAAAAUUAAAUAUAUGCCGUUUUAUAUCUUUUUUGAAAAGAUGUUAUUUUAUAUAUUAUCAAUAAUUUUCUGAAUGUGAUGCAACUCUAGCCUUUUCAUAAUGUUCCUCUUUUUCAACUUUCCCCCUCUACAUUCUUUAAUUCUCGCUUCCCUCCAUGACUCCUAAUUAAGUAUUGAAGGGUCAGCAGUAUAAAUAUAGGGUUUCUGCUUCACAUUUACACACAUAAAGCUAGCCCUCAAAAGCAAGUACAUUAACUAUAUAUUUUGUUCCUCAUAGCUUCACACUCAUUUUCAGAGGCUAAUUCUUCAACUAGUUAACCUUUCAUGACCAUGAAUAUGAUAUCAUCAGAUCCUCUUGUUAUUGGGAGGGUGAUCGGAGAUGUAGUGGAUCAUUUCACUCCAACUGUGAAAAUCACUGUCUCCUACAACAAUAAGCAGGUCUAUAAUGGUCAUGAGUUUUUCCUUUCCUCAGUAACCACUAAGCCUCAGGUUCAGAUUCAUGGAGGCGAUAUGAGAUCGUUCUUCACUCUGGUAUGUACCUAUACUUCUUCUCACUCUCUAUCUCUUCGAUCGAUCUUUUCAUAUCUUACUGUUUUCAUUUCUGUAUAUUCCAUUUCCAUGCAUUUUUUUCAGGUCAUGACAGAUCCAGACGUUCCUGGCCCUAGUGAUCCAUAUCUGAGGGAACACUUACACUGGUAUACAUAUGAUACUAUAUAUAUACUAUGUAUAUGAUUUAUAUAAAACACCAAUAUAAACUAUUGCAUGCAGAUUUAGGUCUUCACUCUACCUUAAUUUUCUUGACUUGUAAUAAUGGAUUAAGUAAUAAAAAAGGUAAAGUACAUAACUACAUAUAUAGGAAUAUGGAUAUAAUAAGUUGAUAUGGAAAGAAAACAAGAAAUUAAACGCAUGCAUAUAGAAAUAGAAGAGUUUCAGAUGAUAAUACACAAUAUAUAUAUAUAUAUAUAUAUAUAUAUAUAGGUGAUUUCAUUUUCUAUAUAUGGUCUGAGCCUGACUGAAACAAAGUGUCCGACCAUAUUUAAUAACUCACAGGAUGGUCACAGAUAUCCCAGGCACAACGGACGCCACAUUUGGUAAAUUACUUAAUCUCUUAUUAUAGAUAUAUACACAAGCAGUUACACAUAGAGAAUAGCUUUCAUUUUACUUUAUUAUUAUAUUUUUCUUAAGAAAAAAAAAACAUAUACUACCGUGUGUGUUUGAACAGGAAAUGAGGUGGUGGAGUACGAAAUUCUAAGGCCAAACAUAGGGAUACAUAGGUUUGUGUUUCUGGUUUUCAAGCAGAAGCGAAGGGGGAGUGAUGAAAACAGCAACAACAAGGGUUCUCUUUAACUCGAGGAGCUUUGCAGAGGAGAAUGAGCUGGGGCCUCUUGUGGCUGCUGUGUUUUUCAAUGCUCAAAGGGAAACCGCUGCCAGAAGACAUUGAAUAAUGAACCCCACAAAAACUAUAGCCUAUGUAGCUGUGGUAUUAAAACCUUUUAGAUGUGACAGAGACUUGUUAAUACAUUAUGCACUAUGCCACCGUACGUAUAAGAUGCCAACACCUCUUUAUCUCUGAUUCUGGGACGAAAUCAAACGACAUCCAAAAAUGCAUGAAUGGAAGUACGAACAAUAUUGUUGUUGUUGUUACUCUAACUUCAAAGACUUCAAGGAAUGACCUGAUUAUAAUUGACUUGUUGUCUUUCUCGAAGGUGGAACUCCAUAAUUUACAAAUCCCACUCUUUUGAGAGCUGAAGAUUCUGAAGUUCAUGUUCACUGUAUAAUGCAAUAUGAACCGAUAGAUAAAAGAAUUUAGGCGUGCGUAGCUAGGCGCCAUUCUGAAUUUCUGACUCCCUAAAAAGCUCAGGCUAGCUGCUAAUCUAAAACAGUGUUUACCUAUAACAAGGUUUUUUUUUUUUUUUUUUACUCAGCUACCUAUAACAAGUUAUAACAUUUUAUUUUCCAUUUUACUUUAUGAAAUUAUUGGAAUGGAAAACUGUAUUCAACAAAUAUAGGUAUACAAGGUUAAACUAGUGGAAACAUAACAUAUCCCUUUCUUGUUAGAAGUGAGAAAUUACUUCUUAACGAUCGAUCAUGUGAAUCGGAAAAUGCCAUAUUUCCUUAAAGAGAAAGCCUCUAUAUCUAUUUGAGAAAUUCUAUUAAUAACAUUUUUAUAUAUAUAAAAAUGUGUACAACAUGCAAAGGCAUAAAGAGAAAUAUGUGAUGAAGAGAGAAAAAAAAUUAUUGUAAAAAGUGUCAUAGAAAGUUGUUGUAUAAAUAAUAUAAACUCAUUUCCAUCUAAAGAAAAAGAAUAAUGUAAUUGAAACUGUUAACAUGAUUAUAUAUAUUCUUAAAUUAAGAUUAUCGAUCAUAUUGACACUGAUAUCAGCGUCCUUACGUAAACACUCCCAUGCAAAUCCUCCUUAAAAGAAAAAAAAAAGAAAAAACAAUGCCAGAUUUUGUUUUCGUCAUUCAUAUGAUCUCAAAUGUACUGAACUUCCAAGGCGUUGUCAAAGUUCGUAUUUUUGGUUUUUCAGUUAGAAUAGGACUUCGAUCUGCAGGAAGCAGUACCGGUUGCAUCAGAAUCAAGCAAUAAGAACAUGUUCGAGUGUGCAACUAUAUAUGCACAUGCCACAGUGCUAGAGAUCUUUAUACGGUUGAAAUAUUAGGCUUAGUUAUAUAUUUUGUCCUCUUGCUUUUACUUUAUGAUUUUGCAAAUUUUGUCACAAUAAUUUUUUUCUCAACAGGCAGGGGCAUGUUGCCUUGUAGUUUUAAAAUUUCAUGAAUUUUGUUCUUCCAUUAGGUUAACAUUCAUUAUCUUUAGUUGACUAAUGAUAUGAUAAUGUUAGCAGUUAACGUGACACUCUAAUAUUGACGUUAACAAUAUACCCAUGGACACAUGGUACUUAAUAUGGAUAUUAAGAGAUAAAAUGCAUGAAAUUUUGAAAAUUGAUGGGCAAAAUACACUUAAAAUAAUAAAUGAUAAAAAUGUUCAAGGUCAGAUUAAAAUCUUACCCUUUUCCUACUCAAUUACCAUUAAAUUCACUAAUUAAGUCCUUUAACUUAUUUAUCAUAUAGAAUAAAAAAUAUUUUAAAUAUAUUAUUGUCGUAUUUGUUAAUUGCACAUUUGAUCUCUCAAAGUAUACCAUUGUGCGAAUUUAAUUUUUUAUUUAAUAUUAAAUCUAUCUUAUUUUAAUUUAAAAAUAAUAAUAUAAUUUCUUAAAAAUAAAUCACUUAAAUAAAAAAUUAAAAUAUUAAAUCCUCAAAAAAUAAUGAAAAAACUAUUAAACAUUUUAAAUUACAAAUGUGAAUAUUAUUAUCUUUUUAAUUAAGCUUAAUGAACAUACAUAAUGAAAAACUAUUAAAUUAAUUGAUUAAUUAUAUAUUAUUAGAAAAAUUAUAUUAUUCUUAUUUAUAAAAAAUUAAACAUUUUUAAUUUUCUUAUUCUUUCUACAUAAUCAAAUAAGAAAACAGAAAACUUUUACUUUCUUUCCUUUUAUUUUCUCUUUUAUCAAAAAUCUUAAAAAUCAUUUCACUUUUUCUUUUUUUCUUUUUUCUUUUUUUUUUUCCUAAAUCAAACCAAGCAUUAGGGAAAUAAUAUGUGGAGUACGUAGGAUAGAUUGGUAUAUAAUUUUUUUGGGAUUCAACAUGUAGUUUCUCUGUGAAGUAGGAUACAUUGGUAUAUAAUUUUUUUUAUGAUUGGGGGGAGGGAGGGAUAUUAAAUAAAUAAAACUAUAAAAAUGGUCUUAAUUUAGCUCAAGCUUUUUUGCUCGCCCCUGUACUGUACAUUCUUUUAUAUUGCUCCUGUCAUGUGUCAUUUCUUUUUGAGCCUCCACUCUGAAAAGUAGAUUUGUUGUUCGUUUUCCAAACUAUCCACGUUUCCAUACCAGACUCCGUGUUAUCAUAUAUAGUAGUGCCAGAGAAACAAUUAAAAUGGACACUAUGGAUAAAUUUGCUAUAUAGCUCCCUAAAUUUCUCUGUUUAUGUUCACCUUUUAACUCUCUAAAUUUGUUGUUUUGUAUGUGUGUAACUUUUCCAAAAAUUUAGUUUUUAAUGGUGAAAAAUGAUUUCAUAUAAUAAAAAAUCAUCUACCUCGAUUAAUUGAAUAAAUACAUGAGUUGUUAUAUAAAAAAAAACUUAAGAUCAUCUAGCCCAAUUAAUUGAAUAAAUACAUAAAUUGUUAUAAAAAAAACUAUCCUUAUAUUUGAUUUUUAUGGAUAAAAAGAAUAAUAUUAUAUGAUUUAUGUAGCUAAUCUCAUUUAAUAAAAUAAGAAAUUAUUGUUGUUAUAUAUGCAUGUGUGUAGUUUAAUGACACUGACACUAACACAAAUAUGUUCAUUUUAAUUAUCAUUGUCGUUAUUAAAAUUUAAAUUUGGGUGUAAAUAGUCUAUCCCAAAAGUUAAUUAGCUCAUGGAGUGAAUAUUAUUCCUCACCUACAUACGUUAUUUAGUCGUUUCACUAGGCAACAUAUCUAUAGACAAAUAUAUACGUCCAUGUACUAAUUUCUCAUAUUGUAUCAAUUAUCCGCGCUGAGUAGGAGCUGAAAUGGGAGGUUUUGGAUGUCUUGGUAUUGGCUAAACCAUAUCCUUGAUCGAUGAAAUGAAAGAAAUGGUUCUCACCUCGCAUUUAAUCGAGUGGGUAUGUGUCUUCCUAGUUAAGAACUGGAAUACAUAAUGCAGAUCAAUUACUAAGGUACUGUUUGGUGGAGAGAGAGAAAAAAAAAACUGAGAUAAAAAAAUUUAAAUUAAAAUAGCCUAAAAGUGCGAGAAACGUAUCAAAUUUUAAAACUUUUCUCUCAUUUCUCUCCUCAUCUUCCCACAAUCUUCCUAAGUUCUGCGGUUUGAAUUACCUGAAUGUUUGAAAUGUCUUUCCUCAAUGCUAAGACCAUGACGAUGCUCGUGGAGGUGUGAAGAAAUGCAAAGGAAAGAAGUAGAAUGAAAAAAAGUGGGAAGAGAAAAAUGAGUACAAAGUAGGUGAAGUUUAAUUUUUGGACUAAAAAAGAAAUAAAUAAUAGAAAAAGAAAAAUUAAAUCAUCUCUACAUUUAUUUUUUUUACAUAAAAAUUUAAAGUAAGAGAAUAUCAUUUGUCUUAGAUUUAAGUUCAAGCAAUCCCUUGAAUUUAAUGUUUAUUUAUUUAUAAGACCGGGGGAGACCAUUAGAAAAUACGUAUAUUAAGUAUAUUUAUCAUAAAGGACUUUAAACUACUAUUAAAGCCCAUUUUCAGCAUAGUGUCAGUCCAGCCCAAUUUGGUAGCACUUUAUUAUCAAAUAGGCCUCCAGACCAAACUGCGAAUUUUGUUCGAACAAGAAGAACAGAACUUUAUAAGAUUCAUAAUACACAUUAAUUAAAUCAAUACUUCACUUGAAAAUGUAUACGCUCCUUUGAAUCUAAGUUUGUUUGGAUAAAUGAUUUUAUAGAGGAAAUGCAUGCUUUAAGGAUUUAAAAUUAUUUAAUAUAAAAUGUUUUGUUUGGAUAUUUAACACAACAUUUUGCAAAUUCUAAAGAAAUUUAAAUUAAGAAUUUUACGGUAAGAACAGAGACCCUAGAAUUCUAAUUAACAGGAUAGAUCCUUCACUCUCAUCUACGAUAACUCUAAUCUCCCCAUAGAUUUCAUUCAUAAUUACGUUGAUCAUGGAUUAUUCACCUAGAUAACUUCACUAUUUUCUCUUUUCUCAUUCAAUGAAACAAUGGUAUUGAUUUAUGUUGUUUAGUUCAAUGGAAAAUUUUGAAUGUUGCUAAUACAUUUGAGUUUCAUUGCAUCAUCAUCACUUAUCAACAUAGUUCUAGCUUCUUUUUCUGGUCUCUAUUCUGGCAAAAAAAAUGCAUGAAACUUAACUUUCAUAAUGACUAAUGACCUAGAUAGAAUUCCAUGGCAGGGACUACCUUGUUCAUGGAAAUUUUCUAAGGUCAUAUUUAAUGAAAUUUCUCAUAGGAAUUUCCUUUUAUCUAUUACUGACCAUGACUUUGCUUUACUUUUACAAUUGGAUAAGAAAUUGAUAGCUUGGAAUAUAAUACAAUGGUAGAGAUGAAAAUGCUAAUAAUGUCUUUACGAAUAUAAUUUCUAAAAUAAAUGUCCAAACAAGUAAUGAUGUAAAUGAAAGGAAUUGAACUGAUACAAUUUAAUUUUCCAAUAUUUUAAAUUCUCUAAAUUUUAAGUUUCUCAAUCUAAAUAUAAUUUAAAGGACUAGAUCACUAAAUACUGGAGAAUUGAAAGCACUUCUGUUUUUUUUAUUCCCAAUUUCGCUUUUAUUUGACGGAUUCACACUAAUGAUGAUGAAUUUGCAAGUCUUGGGCCUCGUUGGAAAAGUGACUAGAAUGUGGAAACCAUAUUUAGUGGAGUUCCUAUAAAAUAGCCUAGACGACUCAAUUGAACCCUUAAAGCUCCAAUGGUCAGGGUCUUCUCCAUUGAAAAUUAUUCAUCUCAAACUACAAGUUACGAUGAAAAGAAGAGGUCAAGGUCAAAUGAGUAUCCACUAUCCACUAAUUGUGUGGAGAAACUUCUAGCUUUGAUUAAGAUGGUCGAUAAUUUUUUAUGGAUUCACACAGAUAUUCUCAUUUUAAAAUAAUCAUGUUUGAGACACGAUCAAAUCUUAAAUAUAAAUAUUUCUUUUAUUUUUCCUAACGAAAAUUCAAACUUUAGUUCAUGUGAGAUACUAGUUCAUUUCACUAAAUUCAAUAUUCAUUGAUAUGAGAUGAUCGACAGUUGAAUAUAAUUAAGUUAGAUCCUCUAUUUUGUAAUUUUAAAAUGUGUUAUAGCCUAUAUGUCAAUGCGAAUAGUUAAUUUUUAAAAAUUUAAGCAAGUAGAUGUUUAGUUUAAUUUAUAUUAAAAUAAUUCUUUACUUUUACUUUUUUAUUUUUUUUAAAAAAAAAGUAUUUCUUUUUUUCAAAUUUAAGUUGAACUAAGCAUGUACUUAAUAUUGUCAAUGCACUCCACCAUAAUUUUUAAUAAAAAAACAUUUGAUAUAUUUAUUUAUUGGCAUUCUAGAAUCCUCGUGUUAGAAGGAACAUUAAUUAAUUUUAGCCCUGACCUACCCACCUUGACGUGAAAUUAUGGCGUUAACUUCCACUAACUUCCAAAACUUCAACUUUCACCCAUAAUUUUAAAAAUAUUAAAUGAUCCUAGGAUAAACGAGAAAAUGUACACAGUUUGCGAUUGGAUUAACAUAAUAUAAGAAAAGUUAUUCUACUCGGGUAAUUAUAUAAUAUUUGAGGAUUAGGAAUCAAAUAACACAUCUUUAGGUACAAAUUAUGAUAUUUUUUCAGUGUACUUAAAAAUAAACUGCAGAUUAAAGUAAUCACGUAUGUAUAAAUAAAUACUAGAAAUUAUAUCCAUUUAUACUUUAUUUAGUUGUAUUAAGACAUAUAUAGUUAAUAGUUGUGCUAGCUAGUACUAUUUGUUUACAACUUUCUUUUUGCUCUCCCUAGCUAGAGUGCAUUGCUAAUGACAUAUUGGUAUAUAGUAUGAACUUUUUUAUAAUAUCACACAUUUAAAAAAUCUUAUAAAAUUAUGAAUUAAACUCGGGGUAAGACUCUAAUGUUCUUCCUCCAGCCCAGGAUAUAGAAGAAAAGAAAGAAAACGACUACGGAAAUUGAACUCGCUUUUUACAGAUUCAACGCGGGGAAGCACUUAUGGCAGGACUUUGGGGGCAGUUUUAAUUAGUCAAUCCAAACCAAGCUAAUUUUAACUCCAUGAAUUUGUUUAAUCCCAUUCUUUCUGGACUUUGAUGGAGUAUAUUGAAAAUAGAUCAUGGACUUAAUCAUUACAGGAAGAAGUUAUAACAUACCAAUAUUGAAUUUUUAUCAUCGUUAUUAUAAUAUAUAUUAGUCCAUACUACACAAAUUAAACAUUAGUUUGUCUAUUCCGUCUCCGUCCAUCAGCUCCACCAAGACCGAGUCCUUCAAUUACGCACAACUUUUUUGAAUCAACCAAUUGAGAUCGGUUGGUCUUUAUACCAUCAGGUUUUGCUAAACAUUCCUUAAACUGAAGGAGCUUAACAAGAAAGAGACAGCUACUCAUGCUGCAAAAGUGCUUCUUUUUUGGGAAGCUUCUUCUUGGAUCACUAGAAUAUGCAUAUAGAUUGAUAGACACACAAUUCAAUAAUUUCGGCCCCAGAAAGACCAUGAAUCAUGUAUAUGAAUACAAUUGAAUAAGAUUUACUCAUUUUAAAUUGUAAUGUAUUAAAAACAAGCUAAAUUGAUUGAAGAGUUGUUAUAAAUCUCCUCAUACUUAUAUAUUGGAUUCCUACCAAUUAAAAAAAAAAAACAAGCGUCAUAAACCAAAUUGUUUUCUUCUUAAAAAAUUUGAAAGUGAGAUGACAAGACCAAGUAAUUAAAUAGGUCAGAAAAAAAAAAAAACAGAAAAUAUUGUGGCACUAUUCCAAUAUUUGGUCACUACUAAACAAAAUAAGGUGUAGAUCAACACAUUACCAAGAUUGAUAACAACUUAUUGGGUCAAUGAAGUUCUACAUUAUCAACAAAAAGAGUUCUUCAUUAUCAUCACACAAUUGACCUAGGCACAUGACUUCUAAAUCGGGAAUCAAAUUAAUUAAUGUAGGAUUUUUCCUAUCGUUUCCUCGCAUUAAGGGUUAUUACUCACAAAGUCAAGUCAGUAAGGCCAUUGUAGCUCAGUUAUACCCCUUGAACUGAAUCGUCAAAUUUGUGUUUUCAUAACCACCUUGAUGCAUAACUUCUAAACCGGGAAUCCUUUUGACAUGAGAUUUUCUCCUACAGUUUCCUAACACGAAGAACUGCUCUUGGUCACCAAAAAUCAUCAUUUUCAUAGGUUACUAAUCCGUAUGGGGAAGCCUUUAAACUAAUUGUCCAGAGUCUCUUAGAAUCAUCUAGAUGGGUAAGGAAUAGUGAGUUAGUUAUGUGGAGAAAAAGCAUGACAGUGAGUCUAUUAUAUAGAAGGAAAUUAAUAAGAAUAAAAUAUAUUUUUAGUUUUUUUACUUCUGAAUUUUAGAAAAAUAAUGAUUUUUUUCUUUCAUAGCAAACGAUUAAUUUUUAUGGUGAAGAGGGAAAAAAUCACUAUUAUUUAUAAAGUUGAGAAAUCCAAAUUAAUCAAAACUGAAGUUUUUGGAUUAAAAUCAAGUUUAAUCGAAAAUAAAAGAAUUCAAAUCAUUUUACUGCAUAAAUAUUAUAGAUGGGGAAGGUUUAUCAAAAUUAGUUGUUAAAAACCGAUUAAAAGAAGAGUUUUAAGAUUUUUUAACAACUAAUUCGUUUAAAAAACAAUGACAUAAAACAUUAUUAAUAAGUUUAUUCAAACAAAUUUUUCGUAAUAAUGAUAUAGUUAUUAAUGUGUUUUGUUGAACGUAUCAAUAAAUUGUCAUUCUUUUAAAAAAAAGUUGAUAAUUUUUUUUAAAAAAAUUAUGUGAUAAACAGUAAAAAUAAAAAGGCCUAUAACCUUUUUAUUUUUUUCAUUAUAUAUUUUACAGGUUUGCCUGUUAAAAAAUUUUAUGCUUUAGUGGAAGAGUUAGGUAAAUGAAAUCGAAAUAACACUGCUGUGCGGUUCAUGCAUACCUGCGUUAGCUGUCUUUCAUCAAUCAAAUCUCCUCCUAUUAUCAUUCUUUGCUACGGGAAAAGCUAUUUUUUUUAACAUAAACUAAGUUAUAGUAAAAUCACUUAUUAAUUAUAUUAUAUAUUGUGCAAGAAUAUAUUUUUUUAAACAAUAAGGGGCAAAUUCUAAAAGAGAUGCGAUAAGGUAGUCUUUGGAGAUGAAGCAAAAAUGGAUGAGAAUUGAGAUAUAUUUAAUUAACUUUAUCUUCCAUACACCCAAUGAUAAUAGAAACGGACGCCGAAUAUAUCCUUAAUUAAUUUAUGAUUAAUUAGUAAUUUUGUGAAUAUUUAUGAUUAGUAUCUAAAAGAAUUUUAGAAAUGCUAAUUAAUUUCUAAAAGAUUGACGAUAUCAAUUUAGUUAUCAAGUAAUAAUUUUUAAUUAUUACAAGAUAUCAUGCAAGAGCUACAAUAGUCUUUAUUUAGAAAACGAAAUAAGACAAAGAUUUAAUAUAUCAUCAUGUGCAGGAGUUUGUCCUCCACUACCGUUGUACAGUUUUAUGUUUUAACCCUAAAUAAACUAAUUAAGUUAAUAGUUGAUCCGUUUAUUUUUAAAUUUUUUUCUUCUUCUUAAAAAAAGAAUCAAAAUAAAAUAAAAUUUUAAAAAAUCUAGUUUUAUGAAUUAUAGUAAUUCUGCUUCUUUUUUAUUUUAUUUACAAAUUCCACAAAUAUCUUUAACAAUAGAUAUUCAUAGUUGAACCGGAUAAUAGUAAUAUAUAUAUAUAUAUAUAUAUAUAUAUAUAUAUAUAUAUAUAUAUAUAUAUAUAUAUAUAUAUAUAUGAUAACAAAACUAUUUAAGUCUAUUUAAUGCAAUUGGAUAUGUCUGAGACAUAAACGUAAUAUUACCAACUAAUUAAGUUGAAAUAUAUGUUGGUUGUGGGAUAUUUAUUUUGUUGGUGGAGCUUGAUGGAGCUGCUUAUGUAAUAUUUUGGAGUUGUAUCUCACAAAAUAGCAUAUAUAACUGGAAUACUAACUAACUGUAUGUACACUUUCUGUUUUUGAGCUGUAGGGUAUUUCUUAUACCUCUACCAGCGUUUAAUACAUGUCCAUUUGGUUUAUUAAAAAAAUUAAGCUAAAACAAUCACAUGAAAUAGCCCGAUCACAUUAUUUUAGACGGGAUAAGAUAUAAAUAUAGUCAUAAUUAUAGUUGACUAGAUAAUAAACUUAAGAAACAUUCAAGCACAUAACUACAUGUACUCUUUGAGAAAUGAAAUCCAAUGGAUUUUUUAACACUUAAUCAACCACAUGUUUGGGUGGACACUAAGUAUACAUAUUCAUUUGGACGUUUAUUUUUUCAACUUAUCAUAAAAAUAAGAGCCAUGCACAUGCACUACAUAAAAUUUAAGUAAUAUAUAAAACAUUUUUCAAAAAAAAAUUAUCAAACGUAAAAAGCUCAAAAAAUUAUGAAUUUUUUUUAACCUUACCUUAAUUAUUAAGUAACUUUUAACUUCACCAAAGACUGACUAAAUUUUUUAAGGUGGCAUGGGAAUGAGAAAGUAUGGUCACGGGAGAGUAUCACUGGGACAUGUAGCCAAAAAGAAAAAGGGGUCUCAAGGUAACCUACUACCGUGGCUAGUAGUAGUAUGUGUACAAAUCGAACACUACGUACCUUUCAAUUGUCAAAAUCCUCACAUUAAUUAACUUAGCAACUGUAGAUUUCUUUCAACAUUUGAGUGUAUAGGACAAUUAGAUAUGACCACCAAUUGAUUUAUGGCCGCUAAUCAGUGGCUAGCAGUUGCACUGUCAAUUAAUAAAAACAGCUUUAAACGAUUGAUCUUGAGCAAAGGACACAUUAUGUACAUCGAAAUCAUCUCUCGUGGGACAAUAAUACAAACAUACAUAUAUAGAAGACAAACCAGCGAGAUUUUGAUUGAUGCAAAUUAAUACUUGUGAUUGAUUAUACCUAAUUUGAAGGAUUAUUCAGUGAAUGAUUCAUUGAAUUUUCCACCUAGAGCUACAAUACAUAUAUACUUAUUAAAUUGUUGUAACCUAUACUUUGGUACGUGAAUGUACUACUUCAAGAUAGAUUUGGACCUGUUCACUAUCAAACAUGCAGAUAUGUUAUGAACAAGAAUUGACCAAAGGGUGUCAAAUUUUCAGUUGAAAAUAGUCAAUCACGACAGAAGCGAGCGGUGGUGAUAGACCACUUGAAAAAUAUUGAUACAAUAUAAUAAAUUAUGACCUAGAAUGUUCACAUACAUCUCAGUGGUGUUAUUACCGCUUUAUAUAUGUGUUGUUGAAUUUGUUAUAUACUGUUAUUCGCAAAAUCGUUGAGCUGACAAUCUUUUAAAGAAUGAACUGUAUUUUAGGGUUAAAUCUUCGAGUAAUUAUCUGAUCUCAACUGGGGAAAACCUAAGUCCAUCAAUCUCACACUUUCUAAUUAAAAAGAAAAAGAAAAAAGAGGACAAUGCAUGCGCGCGUAGUCAUAGAUUAUAUAUAUAUAUAUAUCGUAAAUAAGUAAAAGUCAAAGAAUGAUGGUAACUGCUACGAAAGCCUGUGAAAACAUUGGUCGUCUAAGAAAGAACUGAUGACAGUAUAUAUCUUGUCGGUGAGGGCUAUACUGAUCCGUUCUGCUUAGGUCAAUUCCCAUGUACUGCUUAUUAAUUUGGCAGUAUACUUUAUACGAUUAAUUCUUAAAUAGCUAAUGUGAGAAUUUGUCUAAGAAAGAUCUGCUUGUAAUAUCUACUUUUUCGGAUAAGAUUUGUUUAACACAAGCUUAAGUAUUAAAUAUAAGGGUAUAUUUAUCGAGAGUUUUUAUGGUACUUAUAAAAAUUCAAGGGUUUUGAUAUUGAACCAACAGUUGAAUGAUGCAAAAUGCAACUUAAGCUAAUUCUUAAAACACACUGAAUCUGAUUUUUUUUUAUAAAAAAAUAAUUGAACUUACGAAAAUUAACAUCAAGCCUAAAUGAGUUAGUGAAUCUCGGGAUCAAUGGGUAGUCUUAAUUAUAUUUUAGACAAACAGCUCACAAUAAUCAUGUGUGAUCAAUUAAACCAUGUAAGUGUUUGUUGACUGAGGUGUUAAAGCAUGUUAUAAAGCAAUUGUAGUGUCCUAGUUUCUUGUAUACACAUUUUUUUCCAUUAAAAAAAUAAUACUGGGAUUUAAAGAUUUUAUUUAUUUAUCGAUCAUUAUAAUAUUUACGAGAUUAAUUUUUGAAUUGAAAGUGGAGAUCAGAUGAAGUUUAUGAUUGGAACUUCCGAUAAUGAAGAUAAAACUUGUCAAGAUUAUUCUCUAUUUCAAAUUUAUAAUCAACAACAGUUGAGUUUUUAAGAGGAAUUUAUUUCUCUUGAAUAGUUGAAGCAUUGAAAAUAAGCUUCCUGACCGGGCAUUCUUAUUCUCCAUGUUCUUGAAUAAAUUAAGAAUGAUGAGAUAAAUAUGAUUAAUAAGAAAUUGUUUGGAUGGAAUAUCUUCCUCAGUUUUUUUUUAAUAAACUUCUUCAUAGUUAUUUAGUAUAUACACGUAAUUGCAGCAGCCAUCACCAAUACCACCAACAAUUAAGCCUGAACUAUUCCCUUUUAAUUAUUGAUGUAUGAAUCUUAACCAACAUGGCACAUAUAUUGUUGUUGUUUGUUGGUUUACAUGGCACAUAUAUUAUAAAACACUAGAUAACAUACUGUCUAGGUCCUCGUUACAUGUAAUUGGUUCGUCAUUUCUUAUACUUUUUCUCCGUUUAGGUAUAUUGAUCUAACGCGUCUAUAUAUGUUUUUAUCCUCUUAUUUGAAAUCAUUUGUUUAAGGUCAAUGUGUAAGAAAAUGUGGGCAUGUGGGUCUAAUUCCAUUAUAUGUUAGAAAGAGAAUAUAAAAGGAUCAACUCAUUGAUUCGCUUCACACAUAUUAUACCAAUUACCAAGUAGUAGUUUUAGCUCAGAGAGUUCAUAGUACUGUUCUAGGAUUCUUUUCUACAAAAUUGGCGAUUCCUGUUUUUCAUGUCAUUUUCCAUCCCCACCAUUCCAAUUAGUCUCCCUUUUUCUCUCACCAAAAAGAAACAAACAAAGGCCAACAGAGGAGAAAGAGAAAAAGUUAAGGGUAAAAAAGGAGGAAAAAAAGAACUCCUCAAAGGCAAAAGAAAAGAAAGCUUGAUUUCAUUCAUUAAUCAAUAAGUGCAGGCUUUUCUCUCAUAAAGUCUGGAUAAUAGGCCAGAGAAUUUCACAAAUCCAGGGACUCUCUCUAAAAGAACAUGAGUUUUAGGGAGUGCAAUAAUGUAGAAAACAAGAAUCUAUGUCUUCAAACCCCAACUUUUAUUGAGUGGCUCAAACCAUCAUCAUCUUCCUCUCAAACUAGUUCAAUUUCAUCAUCACCUCCUUCUUAUUCCUUGAUUCAGCAUGAACAACUUGUACAAGAUCAAACGAUCCAGUUUUUGCCCUUUAAGGAAGAUCAACAUAUUGGAGUGCAAAAGGAAGGUUUAGAAGUAAAAGAAGAGAAGAAGGUGGAACAGGUGACGGUGGCUUUGCACAUUGGAUUGCCUAACACGAGAGGCCAUGAACCUGAUGAUGAUCAUGAUGCUGAUGAAAAAAAGCUUUUCCAUGUUAAGGAAGAAGAAGAACCCUUGAAGAAAAGCUUCCAGGGCAAUUGCUCUUUCAACCAGGAGAGAAGAUUUUGGAUUCCAACUCCUGCACAGAUCCUUGUUGGACCGAUGCAGUUUGCUUGCUCCAUAUGCAGCAAGAGCUUCAAUAGAUAUAACAAUAUGCAGGUUAGCAAUUGGUAAUUCUCAACUUCUAGUGCAAAAAACAAACCAAAAGAUUUUCUAUUAAUUAACUGUUUGCUCAUAAAUUAAUUAGUUAACUUAUUUUCACCUACCAACUAUGCCAGUGGGAACUGAGAAUUAAGCAUCUCAUUAUUGUUUGAAAAGACAAUUGUGCAUGUUUUUCAAAUAUAAGCAUAACCUAUCUGCAGAUAGCUUACACUUCAAUUUCAUCGUUAAAUAAGUACUAUUAACAAAAUAGAAUCUAACACCAGUUCAACAGUAAGUCUGGAAAUUAAUGGAAUAAUCUUAGUUUUUUUUAUUAUUUGUAAGUAUAGCUCCUUUGAACGUUUUACAGUUUCAGAUUUACAAUAUAAUAAUAACAAAAAUUAAAAGUUGUGUAGAUAUCAGUUUAAUUUUCUUCACAAUCACUAUUCUGAGGAAGGUUUUCAAAACAAAUUAAUUUCAUUGUUAUCAAUUAGUAGUUAUAUCACAUAAUUCACGCAACUAUAUUCUAUGAUAUCUAGUUCAGAAUUGGUAUGUAUAAAUGAGUACAUAAGUGUACGUGUUUCUUUCAUAUAUUGUCACUUCAUUUCAAUUCUUUUUUUUACGUAAUUCCAAAUCAUGAAAUCUGAACUCUUGUUAUGAAUUUGAUAGUAUAAUCCUCUAUAAUCUAUAUAUAUAUUUUGUAACUGAGAUGACUAAUAUAUAUAUAUAUAUAUAUAUAUAUAUAUAUAUAUAUAUAUAUAUAUAUAUAUAUAUCUGAGUCCAAAUUAAAUUAAGGGAAUUUGCACUGAUUCCUAGUGCGCAUCGAUCGAUCUACUGAGAAUUUGAAUUCCCUCUUUAUCCAAGCCAACCUGAACUAGCUGUUUACAUGAUGAUGUUGAAGAAGAUAAUCAUCAAGAAGAAAACAAUCAUUUAAAUGAACUUUAAAGGGUAUAUAAACAUGACUCUUAAUGACUGUCUUUUUCUUUUUCUUUUUCUUUUUCUUUUUUCACUUUUAAGAAAUUUGAGCAAUGGCCUGCAGCCCCGCUAUCACCACCCCCUUCAACUUUUAGCAAAAAAGGCUCCUUUUAUACCAUAAUAGGCUUUCAAAGGGAAAUUGCACUUCCAUAUCUUCAUGCUUUUAUUUUCUUUUUUCUUUUUUUCUUUCCAUGUGUGUUUGUCCUUUUGGGUUGAAAACUCAUCAGAAUACAAUUACCAUAGGAACUAAUCGUCGGUGUUUGAGGCAUGCAUGCAGUAUAGCACAAGCUUUACCUUAGCAAAUUCUUCUGUAUAUAAAUCACGCCUUUGUUAAAAAGAAAACAAAAGAAAAAAAAUCAAUAUCAUCAUUUACGAGAGAGAAGGCACACAAAUCUCCCACUCGAUCUUAAGAAGCAUUAUAUAUAGUUAUCAAUUAGAUUACUAAAAAUCACUUUAUCUCGUUUCCUUUUUAUUCCUUUAAUUAUAAAAAUGAGUUAGAUUAACAAUUAAUUAAAGACAGUGGCCAGUGCUGGUCUGAAUAAAGGCCAACAUUGGUUGGUUAUAAGUGGAUGUAAAUCAUUUGCUCUCCGUUUUUUGUCUUUUCAAAUUAAAAAGCAACAUAUGUGAUUAGAAAGUAUUAAUAUUUUCUUUUUUGAUUUUUAGUUUUUUUAUUUAAGUAAAUGUUUAGUUUUUAAUCAAAAAGGCAGGAAAGAAUACAAGCAGGCUUGAUUAAGGAUUAAUUUGAAGCAAGUUUGGGAUCAUUUACAAAUGAUCGCGUUAAAACAAAUUUGUGUAUAUGGGCCGGUUAGAGUAGUCUUGUACUCUUUGAAUGAAAUUUGUUUGGAUUUUUUUAUAUUAGCAAAAUAAAUUUUUAUUAAUGAUGUAAAAACUUAAAAUGCUUACAAGAUAUGCCAAUUUCAGUCUCCAGUACACUUGAUAUAUAUUACAAUGAAGAAGUCUAAGAAAAAAGAAACGUACUCCAAUCUUUGUGAAAUAUUUAUAUAUAUUCACUUUCUCUUUUUUCAUUAAUCAUAUUCACUUUCUCUUUCAUUAUUCUACUUUAAUCCCAUUUUUUAUAUUUUCUAUCACAUCAUUUAUUGUUUUUUUUUUCGGAUGUAUCUAUUAUUUUUUCUUUUAUUUCUUUUCACUCAUACACCUCUAAUAUUAAAAAAAUAUUUUCUUAAGUUACCAUAGGUAUAAAAUAUUUAUUAAUUUUAUAAAUAACUAAAUUUUAUUAGAAAAAAUUAUGAAAUUACCAUAAAAUUCAGGUUUAUCAUAGUCUCAACUAGUUUCCAUAACAUGUAAUUGAGCAUUAUUCUAUCUUGUAAGUUGAAAAAUCUAAUAGCAUGCCAUAAAGAUAUUAUAACAAUUUGCAGAUGCAUAUGUGGGGGCACGGAUCCGAAUUUAGGAAAGGACCAGAGUCACUUAAAGGAACACAACCAGCUGCAAUGCUAAGGCUACCAUGUUACUGUUGUGCCCAGGGUUGCAAGAACAACAUCAAUCACCCAAGAGCAAAGCCCUUGAAGGAUUUCAGAACCCUCCAAACCCACUACAAAAGAAAGCACGGUGCAAAACCAUUUAUGUGCCGAAAGUGUUCGAAAUCCUUUGCAGUUAAAGGGGAUUGGAGGACUCACGAGAAGAACUGUGGAAAGUUGUGGUACUGCACUUGUGGUUCAGAUUUUAAGCACAAAAGGUCCCUUAAAGAUCAUAUUAGAUCCUUUGGAAAAGGUCACUCUCCACAUCCUUCUCUUGAAGGCUUCGUCGAGGAUGAGAAGGAAUGUGUUACAGGUUCUGAUGAUGAAGAUGAUGUUGCUCAUGCAUGAUCAUCAUCAUAUGUAACAUAUAUAUAGCUUUCUUAAAGACUAGUAGUAAAAGUGUAGCAGAUUUCAGUGCAUGCAUGCGCUUGUGCUCAGUAACAAAAAAUUCUCGACAAUUACUGUGGGAUGAAAAUAGGGAGCGGUUUGCUACCGAGCACUUGCAGGAAGAAUUUGCUUUGUGGUUUAUUAAUAUAUUAAUAUAACACAUUAUGGUUACCUAGAGUGAUGAAGCAUCUGAAUUUUUUUCUCGUAGCAGCAGAACAGAUGUCGCUAUAUAUCAUGUUGAAGCUUUUGCAUACCUUUUCAGUGGAGAAAAUUUAAUCCGCUUCAUUACCAAAAGGUUAUCCUAUAUCAAGGACACUGGUAAUCACAAAUGACAAUGUAGAUGAAAUAAAAACUAAAAAUGUUUAAAAGUAAAUUAAUUACCAUACAAAAAAUUAUUAAAUAUUUAUUUUAAAAUAAUUAAAAAUAUUAAAUUAUGUAUCAAAUUAAUGCAAAGGAUUGAAAAAAGGAAGUUUAAUAGCUAUGUACUCGCAAUAGUAAAAUUCAACGUACCUAGGAAACACUAAUAGAAAAUAUUAAAGUUGAAUAAUAACAAAAAUUAAAUUAAAUGAUAUAUAUAUAGUGACCAAUUUAUAUUAAUUGAUAGUAUAAUAUUAUUAUAAUAAAUAAUUCUUCAAUGUACAGAAAUCCAAUUCAUAUUAUUACAUCAAAUAUUAGUAUUGGAUAGAGGUUAUAAAUCUUAGCACUAACAUUUUUCUAUUAGUAAAUGAUUUUUUGGUUAUAUUAUUAAUAUAAAAAAAAUCACUGUUUAUUAUUCAACCAAUAUUUUUAGACAAUAGUUAAAAAAAACUGUUACAAAUACGUUGGAAACAUAUUAAGGAGUUCAAGUUUUAAAUUUGAAUUGUUAGUAAUUUUUAGAUUUGGAUCUACAAAUCUGUUAUUUUAAUUUAGAAUUAUUGAUAAACUUGUUAGUUUUUAAAUUUUAUAGAUCUAUUAGUUUUUAAGAUUAUUGUAGUUUUUGAAUUUUACAGAUUUUUUAGUUUUUAAGAUUAUUAUUACUUUUUAAUUUUUGUAAUGGAUAGAUUAGCAUAUAAUCUUAGAUAUGCUAGUUUUCAGCUUUUUGAAUCUUGUAAAUCAGUCUAUAUGUACAUAGCAAAUCAAUGAAUAGACAAUGAAGUUCACACAUCAAUUCUUCUCUCCUUUAUUCUUACAUGGUAUGAGAGAAUCUUAGGGUGUGUUUGGUUUGCAUUUUUAUUUUUUAUUUUUAUUUUCUAUUUUUAUCUAUUGAAAACUAUUUUCAUUUUCAAAAAAUUAGAAUUCUGAAAACAUAUUUGAUUUGACUUCUUGUUGUCUACUUUCAGAGAAACAUGUGAAGGAAAUGUAUUUUUAGAUUUGCUUAAAAUUAUAUUCCUUGACACCGCGUUUUCAUUUUACCCAAAAUGAGGUUCCUGUUUUCAACUGAAAACGAGAUUUUAUUAUUUUCAUUUUUUGGUUCAUUUGGAAAAAUAUUUUUACUGAAAAUAUUUUCAAAAAUCUAACAAAACACAUUUUCAUCACCAUUUUCUAUUUCAAUAAAAAAAUGAAAACAGGAAACAACUAAAUCAAACACCCCCUUAAGUUUUCCACCAUGGCAUCCACACCCCUUUCUCCCAGUUCAAUCACAACCAUGGAUAAAAAUUCCUAUAAUUCAUCACUCAAAUAGUCCUUCAACUAUUCUUGUUACACCCUUGUUGACAGGGGACAACUAUAGUUCAUGGAAUCGUGCUAUCAUAAUGACACUUUGUGCAAAAAACAAACUUAGGUUUGUUGAUGGGUCUCUCCCAACUCCAAAGCAAAAAAAGAAGAAUUUCUCAAUUGGCACACAGUAAUAACUUGGUUGCAAAUUGGAUUCUUAAUUUUGUCUUUCCUAAGAUUUGUCCAAGUAUUUUGUAUGUUGAAUUGCACAACACAAAUCUGAACAAAUUUAAAGGAUUGCUUUUCUCAAUCAAAUGCUCUAAAAAUCCAUCAAUUGAAACAAUCCAAUCAAUGAUGAUGAACCUUUUAACAAUAUUAAUCCUAUCAAUAAUCAGAUUUCACCUGAUUUGAAUGAUAAUUUGAGUGGCACAAGUGUGAUCAUUCCCACAUGCAAUCCGCAACAUGACACUUAAGAAAUGUUUCCAUCUACUACUUGAUGUGCCUCCAAAUCAUAAUUCACCUCUAGAGAUGACUUCUACAUCUACUCGUCUUUAGGGAGUUCAUCGUUAAUCAAGUCAUCUCAAAGAUUUCAUUUGUAACCAUGUUUAAUCCUCAACAAAUUUUCCAUGGGCAAACCACUUUUGCCUAUCAAAUCUAAGGGGUGUAUUAGAUUAGGAUUUUAAAAGAUUAUUUUAAUAUAAAAAAGUCUUAUAAAUUUUAAAAAUUAUAUAAAAAUAUUAUGACUUUUCAGAUUUCUUUAUAAGACUUUUAUUUAUAGAUUUAUAAGAUUUAAAAAGAUUUUAUGAAUUUUUAAAAACACAUUCAAAAUACAAGAGUUAGUAAAAAAAUUGACAUUUUUUAUUUCAAAAUAAUAGAAAAAAUAUAUAUGUCACACACAUCUUGAAGAAUAUUAAAGAUACAAGAAGUUAUGUGUAAUGAGAAAAAAAAAAGUUAGGUAACCAAUAGAAAAAAAAGAAAAAAGUCUAGUAAAAUCUCAAAGGUUUAAGUGAGAUUACUUAAUAGAUGUUUUAUAUUAAAAAGUUAAUAUAAUGAAAUUCAUCAAAAUUUGUAUAUUUUUUAAUACUAAAAGAUUUUUUAUAAGUUAUAAAAAAUCAUAAUUGAAUAUCACUCGAUUUUAUUACCUUUCUUUAAAAAUCUUGAAAGUCUUAAUUGAAUAUCACAAAAUUUAUUUAUAUUAUUUAAAAAUUCUGAUUAAAUAUUACAAGAUUUUUUUAUAAAAAAAGUUUUUAAAAAUCAUUUGAAAUUAUAAUUCAAUAUACCCCUUAGUGUCUUUCAUCCUUUUCUCAAGUCAUGAAAUCAAUUAAAUGGCGUGAUGUCAUGGCUAAAGAAAUCCAGGCCUUUGAACCAAACUUGGUCUUUGUGUUUCCUCUGUGAAGGAAAAUCUUCAAUUAGUUGUAAAUUAAUCUACAAGAUCAAAUAUUGAGCCAACAAUUUUAUUAAGAGAUAUAAGUCUCCUUUGGUCGCAAAAGGCUAUACUCAAGUUUCAAGUUGAAGAUAUUUACAAUUAGCAUACUGACGCGAGCCAAUAGAGGACUGAGUACGCGCGGUGUUUACAGAAGUUCAAAAGGCUUUAUAAUUAUUCAUGUUAUUGUAUUUUGGCACUCUUAAUAAAAUGUUUGAGUAAAUUGUAUUUCACAAUUUACAUUAACCAAGUCAACAGUAUUCACGAAACGGAUCGGAAAAGAUGAUACAGAGAAUCAUUAAUUAUAAUUAUUGUCAAGCAAAAGGUAGUACCGUCCUCGUCUGUAAAGGAUUUUCACAAUCCUUGCAUCUUUUACUAAUAUGAUUAUUAAUUGACCCCUCGUGCAAGGAACAAUAAAAACUGCAUCUAUCAUUCCUAUAACCUAUAAACAAUUCUAGAGGGGGGAAAAGAAAGAAAAACAAAAGAUAGAAAAAAAAAAAAAAAAGCUUCUAAAUUUAAGAGUGGGUAACAUAGAGUUAUUAGGUUUUGUGCAGGAUGUUGGUUUUUUGUAUUGGAAAAGGUGUAUCAUGGUUAUAGGUUAUUUUUAUUCACAUGGACUAAAAAUAAUUAAUAACCGUGGAAACCUUGUCUUGAGUGACUUUUUUAGUUGCUCCUGCUUUUGUAAUUGCAAGGUACUUCUUGUACCCGUUGUUAAUAAAAAUCUUAUUGGCUGAUAAAAAAACUAGAGAAUUAUUAGGAUGAGAAUUUUUUAUGUCAAAAAGAUGAGUAAUUGAUGAAGAGAUGGUUCAGCCGCAAACUUGCUCCCAUAAAUUCUGGUCUUUGGGAGAGUCUAUUUUGGACUCACCAAACUCAUACGCCAAUUUGAAGUAGCUACGAGCUCGACAUCAAUUUCCCAAUAUAAAAUUAGAACUACUAAUUUAUAAGCUUGAUUCUUUUGGUCGAAUACUUAGAUGAUCUGCUAAGAAAAGCAUCGAAAAUGGUGCUUAAUUACGCAAGUGUGUUUGAAAAAGAGAUAUGAUCUUGUGUUAUAAGAGAUCGACUCUUUUUUCUUACACAAGACAUGGUGAUCCUUAAUACACGUGAGGAAGAGAGAGAAAGGGAGAGUACAAACAAUAAAAGGGUUUGAGAUUUGGAUUCUUUUGAGGUAGCUAGGAUUGACCAAAGCAAAAAAGUAGUAGAGAAAAUGGGAGGUUGUAUAUGGUUUUAGAAGAUAAGGGACCUCCACCAUUCUUUGUCUGGUAAAACGUUAGAGCUAGCUAGGUAGAAAGAUCGCAACAACCAUCUUUUAACUGCAACAAUUUAGCUAAACUAGCAGUUCGCUUUCAUACUCAAAAGUGCCAGUCCCUCUGUGUCUCACUCAAAAGCUAAUGUGAGCUAAUUUUAGAAUUGAAUUAAGUUUAAAUUUAAAUUAUGAAAUGACAUUAAAGUAAAUUCUAGUGUUGUUUUUAGACUAAUUGAGUCAUUUAGACUUUUUUGACUGUAAUUACAUCAUCCAUAAAUGUCGCGUCAUGCAAAUUUCACAUGAUGUUCAGUCCUUGACAUAAAAAUUAAGAAUGUCUAUCUAUAAUAGAUUUUGGUACUUGUGGUACCACUUAUAUAUAUAUAUAUAUAUAUAUAUAUAUAUAUAUAUAUAUAUAUAUAUAUAAAACUGAGAAAAAAUUUAAUUUUAAUUUUUAAUAUAUCAUGUUUAUUUUUUUAAUUGAUUUAAAUAGUUACUUUUUAGAUUAAUUACUUAAAAAAUCGAUCUAAAAGUUAAUUUUUAAGAUGAGCUAACAAUUGACUUAAAAAGUUUGACUUUCUAUAUCACUUAUAUAAACAUCGAUAAUACAAUCGAUGUAAAAAAAAUUUAUGAAAAAUUAAAAUUUUAAUCUCAAUCAUCAAUUUAUAUAUAUAUAUAUAUAUAUAUAUAUAUAUAUAUAUAUAUAUAUAUAUAUAUAUAUAUAUAUAUAUAUAUAUAUAUAUAAAUGUGUAUAUCUUAUUAGAUGUAUCAAGUCAUACUUGGAUCACUUGCACAGUUUAGUCCCACAAACUUCACACAUUGUCUAAUCCUUGGUGUUAGCAUGAGUCAAUUUUUAAAUUUGUAUUAGAUUUAAAUUCAAAUUCUGAAAUGAUAUAGAUGUCGACAGUUGUUGUUAGACUCAUCGAUCAGGUCAUAAUUGAAUCUCUUGUAUAUCUUCAAUCCUAUAAAUUUCACAUUGUCCAAUCCUAAUCAAAUUCUAUCCUAAUGAUUUUUGUGACUUAUCAAGUUGUAAUUGAAUCUCUAUAAAUGUUCAAUCCUAUAAAUUUCACAUUGUUCAUUUCUUAGCCUAAGAAGAUUGUCUAUAUCUUAUAAUAAUAACUUUUGAAAUUGUGUUAGACUCAAAUCUAAAAUGAUAUCAAGAUAUAUUGUGUAGUAAUUGUUGCUUGUUAUUUAGUGUAGUAUUUAAUAUAAUUAACAUAACAUUUAAACCAAUUAUAUUGAAACAAUUGUUGCAUCAAAAAAUUCGUACCACAAUCCUUCGUUCUAUUUAGCACUUAUGUAUUAAAAAUAUUUCAAUAAAAUAGAAACAAUGCUAUAUCAAUGUAAAAGUGAGUUUAUAAAUGUUAGCCAGUAGAAGCAACUAACACUGGUCCCUUAUCUGCGUAUAUAAUGAAAAGUACUCCUACCCCAAAUGAAAGGCCUGUGCGAACUGCGAUGAUAGCAGAGAGCACGAGUAGAUAAAGAAAUAGAACAUUGAAGAUGGAAAUAUUUCUUAAGGCAACGCGAGAAAGAAAAAAAGGAGGCUGAAAAUGAACCAGCUGAUGGAGAAUAUAUAAAUAAACCAGUUAUGAGCUGGUAGACAUGCAGAUUAACCAAAAAUCCACGAAGCAUAUAGUGGGUUUAAAUAUCGAUGGCGCUGGUUUGAAUCAAAGUUCAAUUGUAAAUGUAAUUGUAAAUCUCGAAGCUCAGAGGAACCAUAUACAUUAUUUUGUAUAAAUUGUUUCUUACAUGAGCUCAAUGUUAAAUUUAUAAGUAUUUUUUUAUUCAUAAGUAUUGAAUAUAAGAUCAGUAUCAAAAAUUUAUAAUACUUUAUAUAUUUUGUUUAACCAAAUGAGUAGAUUCUUUAAUUGGAAUUUAUAUGCACUACAAGAAAAGAGUUGAUUAGCGACGGAUUUAGAUAUGUGGAAAUGUCAAUACUUGGAAGGCUGUUUCUGAUGGAUUUUCAAGAAAUUUUAAACUAUUUUUUUGUGAUGGAAAUUUACCGACUAAUAUACAUCCAUCAGAAAAAUUAGAAUUACUGUAUUUUCUGUCGCUAACAUUUUUUUGUUAGAAAAAUACAACAGACCCAUUAAAUAUUGUUAAACAAAUAAGCUAGUAAAAAAUUACCCAUUAAAUUGUUAAACAAAUAAGCUAGUAAAAAAUUACCCAUUAAAUUGUUAAACACAUACGCAGAUUUGAUGAUUAAUGUUGUUACAUAUAAUUAUAUAUAUAUAUAUAUAUAUAUAUAUAUAUAUAUAUAUAUAUAUAUAUAUUAAAAAUUUAUUAUUUUAUUCUUAUUAUUGAUUAAAAAUAUUUUUAAGAUAUAUUUAAAAAAAUUAAAUAUAUAUUAAUAUAAUAAAUAAAAACUUGGAUAUAAAUUGAUAAAUAUAUAUAAGAAAUUUUUUAAUUUCUAUUAUUAACUAUAAUUUUAAAUAAAUUCUAUAAAUUAUUGUAUAUAUAUAUAUGAAUUUAAACCUUCCUUGAUUCACAUUUUUGGUUUUUUGAAUAUAUUAAGUAGUUUUACUUAGAAUAUUAAAGUUUUUUUCGCCCAUAAGUUAAUUUUUUUUUAAAAUGAUGAUUGCAAAAAGUUGUAAAUAUAGAAGAGAAAAUAAAUUGACAAAUAUAUGUACUAAUUUAUUUUUACUUUCUCCAUCCUUUUAAUUUUAAUUUAUUGUUUCCAAAGCUAAUACCAUGCAUCUUAAUAAAGCUUACAUUAAUUUUCGUCUAAGAAAUAUUAGAAUAUUAUUCUGCUCCCACUUAAAAAAAAUUAAAAAUAUGGAUCUACGUGCCACUAAAUUCAUCAUGAAAUAUAUAUCACUCUAGUCCUAGAAUUCAUUAAAACCCAAUUGUAAAUUGAUGAUUGAUUAUGACCUAAUAAAAUUUAAAGUUAGCACUAAAAAUUAAUUAAGGCCUAAUAAGACUCAAAUAUAAUUGACCAAGGCCCACCUCAGCUAAAUAUAACACUUAUGAUUGUUCAAUGCUUAAUAAGGCUCAAAUGUAAUAUUAAUAAUUGAUCAAAACUCAAUAAAACCUAGGUGUAAGUAUUAAUGAUUGAUCAAGGUCUAAUAAGACGUAGAUGCAGUACAAAUAAUUGAUGAAGACGCAAUAAGAUUCAAGUGUAACAUUAAUGAUUUAUUAUAACUCAAUUAGAUUCUAUUGUAAUACUCAUGAUUGAACAAUGGAUUAAGAAUAACACUAAUGAUUGAUCAAAGUCUAAUAAAACAUAAGAAAAUAACAUUGAUGAUUGAUCAAGAUCUAAUAAAAUCUAGUGUAAUAUUGAUGAUUGAACAAGGUUGAGUAAAACCUAGAUGUAUUGCCAAAAAACAUUCUUUGUAGGCCACUAUUUCAUUAUGAGUCUAUUAGUUAUGUUAAGGAGCCUCGCAAGUUAGCUUACCUUGCAACAAUGUAUUGUCAAAAUAAAAAUUGGUUGUAUUUCCUUAUAGCUAUGAGAAAAGGCUCUUUGGGUUCAUAAACUGUAUAAAUUUGUAGUGGUUAUGUGGAGCCUUAAUUUUUGGCAAGGUGAACUUCGACCAUGAACUGAAUUAACAUGUUUUAAUUCCAAUCUUUGUUUGAUGUAGAUGGUAUUUAUGUCAGUUGAUCUUGAAGAUUACUUGCCUUCAAAGAAUAUCUUGUCAAAAAUCAGUUUAGGAACUAUAAUCUCAUGUGAUGACUUUAUUCUGCGGUCUUUAUUUAUUUGUUCAUUUAAUUUUAUGACUACUUUUAAAGAUAUUUUUAGUUUCCAACCAGUGUUUUGACCUGAUUUCUAUUGUCCCUAUUUGAUCUGAGUAAAUUGUUUCAUAUUCGUUGAACAAAAAGCAAGAAAGCUGCAACUGAGUACAAAUUUAUGACACCUCAUCAAGUAUCUGAGGCAACAACAGACCAGAUAGGGAUGUUGACACACACAAUAGAUCAGCCGGCACUGCGGUAUGAAGAAACAAGCAAAACACUGCUUCUGAAAAGAUCAACUACAGAUAAACUUCAUAAAAAUCAUGCAGACAAUAACAACACAAGCAUGGGAAUUGUAGGGGCAAGUGACAUUAAGGUAAUUGCGACAUAAUCUUCAGUUUUUUUUUCCUUUAGAGAUGGAGAUUUUGAAAGGAUGUACGAUGAAUCUUUGAUCGAUUUCAAUACCAUUAAGGAAAGGCAUUAAACAUUUUGGAAGUCAUUGGUUUGCCCCCUAUUUGUUGUCUAAUGAAUUUUUUGUAUUUUAUUAUUUAAACUCUGUUAAGGUUACAUGUUUAUAUAAUGUUUUCAGGUUUUCUACAAGAUAUGUUUCAUCGUCCUCAACGUCCUUUGAAGAAUUCCACAUGCAUAUUGUGAGUUUAAGUCAAAAGGUAGCAAAUACAAGACAAUGACAUUUCUUUCCAAAAAAGACAAUGAUAACAAGUAAUAUUCUUUGUCAUAUCUAUUAAUUACCUUUGAGUUAGAUUAUAAUUAGUAUCAAUAAGUAUUAUUAAAAGAUAUUAUUUAAAAGGUUAAUAUAUACUCAUUGAUAACAUAUAUUUUUUCAAUAAAAAAAAUUGAAAACAUAUAUUAUUAUAUUUAUCAAUUAGUAUAUAUACUAUAUUGUUUUUAAUAUAUUAUUAAUUAUUAUAUAUUUAUUAAAGUGUAUUUAUUAAAAGUUUUGAGGGGAGGGGGCUAAAGCCCUGCUAGCCCCCUAAAAUCCGUCCCUUCCAACAGCAAAAGCAAAGGUGAAUUGCAAGAUUUUUCUUGAAUGGCAAGAAUUACAAGUUAAUUAGUAAUUUGUGUUUGACAAAAUGUCAUAAAUGUGAAUUGAAAAUAGUAAUUACUCGGUUUUUGGUUCUUUUAGCAUCUUAAUUGAAUGAUUUUGUGUUGUAAUUGAGUGAAGUCAUCGAAUCUUAUAAUCUUGUUAUCAGGUUUUUGAAAGUUGAGAAAUGAGAAGUGAUAUGAUUUGCAGGAAUUGCGUGUAAAUUAAGAGUCUGCAUUUGAAACAAUAUUAAUUGGUGAUUCCAUUCUACUUUUUGUGCUUAUUAACAUUUUUUAUUGAAUAUGAUAAUUUUGUUAUGUGUUUUUCUACCGAUUGGACUUUUUUUUUUCGUUUCCAACAAGAUAGAGUAAUAAGCAUUAGGAAACACAGUACGAAAUUCUGAUUGGUAGUUUUUUUUUGUCUAUACUAAUUCUCUGAACACAUGACUGAGGGAGAUAACUUAAAAAACAAUAAUUCUAUCGAUUUAGUGUAAAAAAAAAAACUAUCAAUCAUAAUUUUGUAUGUCUUUCCUAAUGCUUUAUCUUGUUGGAAUCGGAAAGAAAAAAAGUUUAAUCGGUAGAAAAACCUAUGACAAGAAAAUCAGUGUAAAAAAAAACUAUUAUUUCAGAAUUUUGUACGUCUUUCCUAAUACUUAUUAACAUUCUUGUCUAUUUGGUUUGGACAGCUAUUUGACUCGUUUCUAUUUAGAAGCAUAUCUGAUCUUAUUUACAAAGAAAAAAGUUAGAAUAUAAAAUACACUAUGUUACUUAUAAGUAGGACCAAAGAUAAUAUAUUAUUUUAAAUAUAUUUCUGUGUUUGUAUUUCCAUUAAACAUAAAUUAUCUGUAAGAAAAAUAUUAGCUUUGAAGGGAAGUAAGAAAGUGGAAAAAUAAGCAUACUCUUAAUAAAAAUCUAAUUAAGGUUAGCCAUGUGCUUGACUUUAUUUUAUCGAGAAUUAAACUAAUCAGAUAUCAAUUAAACUAUUUUUGAGAGGAGAGGACAUAAAAAUUCCACAGAAAUAUAUAGAUCGAGAUCGAACUAAUUAAUUAAACCAAUACUGUAGGAAUUUAUCUAGACCUCCAACGUUAAGAUGUAAAAAUAGAAAAUUGAAAUCUGUAUACUUAUUCCAUGAUUAGAUUAGAUAUAACACCGUUCAUGACUCCAACCAAUGGUAUGCAAUCAAAGAUAGGGAAAAGAUGAACAAAAGAAUAAUUAACUAGUACAAGUUCAAGCAAAACAACAAUGGUAUCUUAAGGCAUGAAAAUACCCAGUUGGACACAUGGUGAGAAUUGCUCACUGCACCCCGUAGCAAACGCUGUGUGUAUCAGUAUUACUAUUACCAGUGAAGAAUAAUUAAAUCGGUUGUAUCAUUCAUGAGUACACUCCUUAAAUGUGUUACUUUCAGACUUCAGAUUAGGCAAAAAUUUAUCAUUGUGGUUGUGGGGACAAGAGAACUAGCUCCAUGAAUGUGGCAGUUGAGAAUGUUGUGACUUGUGAGCUUCAAGCUUGAUCAUUGAUAUGACGACUAUAUAAGCUACUGUUUAUGUUAGUGAUUCAGUGCCUUUUCUUUCUAAGCAGCCAAGAGUUGCUGUUCUGAGACUGGAAAUGUCUCUAUAAACACUUCAAAAAUAUAUGCUUUUAAACAAUUACUAUAACAUUAUUGCACUUUGCUUUCCAUGAUAGACAGGACACCAAAUAGAUGAAUGCAUGGUAUUGGUUGGAAUCAUUAUGAGUGUGGGGUGGGGACCAACAUGGGGAAUUAGAAAACAGAUGAAUCUGAACAUAUUGUUUGGUAAAACUUCCUUAGGAGGAAUAGUUGCCUGAAAUUAAUUAAAGAAUUAAAUUAGUAAUACUUAUAAUAGUUGAAGGAUUUUAGAUUUAAGUACGCAUAUAGGAUGACGGACAAAAUUAAUUCAUAAUUAGUUUGAAGUUAAUUCAAAGUUAGAAAGAGCUUACUUUUUAACUAAAAGCAUCUAAUCUAAAGUUGAAAGUUUUUAACUUAUUGGCAUCCUCGCUCCAUAUAAUAAUUGUCUUACAAUUAGUCUAUAAUAGAUUGGAUUCGGUCCCGAUACAAGAACAUUUAAUAAAUACAUUUUUUAAGUUAAUUCAAUAAACUAUAAGUUUUUUAUAUUAUUAAACUAAUUAACGAAUUUUAAAAUGAUAAAAAGGAUAUGCCUAUAUUUUUAUUUUUAUUUUAUUUUAUUUAAAAGAUAAUUUUUUUUAAAAUAAUUAUAGUUUUAAGUUUUUUUAUUAAUUUUGAAAUCUUAUUAUUUUAUAUUUAAAUAUCAAAUAUUUUUAAAAUGACAAAAAAAAAUAGUGCAAUAAUUAAAAAAAAGUGUAAUAUAAAAAAAGUAACCCAAAAGAUAGUAAAAAAGGUAUAAUGGCUAGUAUGAAAAGUUAAGAAAAUAAUGUAUAAACAAAUGCUAUAAGUUUACUAAAUAUACUUUGUUAUCAAACACUUUUAUUUUAGUUAAAUAAUAUUUUUAAGUUAAUUAAAUUAAUUUUAUAAAUUAGUUGAAAAUCACCAGUCAAAUAUAGUAAUAAUAUUUUUUAGAAAAAACUAUAUAAAAAAAUUAUUAAUUUUAGUAUUUAUAUACUCUGUUCCAUGAUAAUUUAGGCAUAAAUGAAUUAGUUAUUUUGAGAGCAAUAUAAGCCCAUUUACAAAGGAUCCAAUGAUAGUGUUCACGAGUUUGGAUAAUUCAUGAAUUUAGAUCUUGACAUUGUUUUGAAUUGAAUCUAAUUUAACCCAUUCAAAUUCAAUGAUUUUUCUGUUUUGGAUAAUGAGUUUUUAUGUUAAAAAAAUUACAAACCUUGAUGACCCAACUCUUUAAUAUGAUAUUUUAUUUUAUUUUAUUUUAAUUAUUAUUUAUAUUUUUUGUUUUUAUUUAUUAUUUUUUACAAUUUUAAAAAAAAAUUGUAAACACUUUUUAAGUUUUUCUUUACCAAAUAGACCCAAUCCAAUCUGUCAUUAAUCAAAUUAGUCUAAUUUGGGUUUGACAUGAAAAAUACACAAAUUCGAUAGAAUUCAAGGACAAUACACAAUUUUACCUGUUUGAUGGUUAUUUUCCUCUAUAAGAAGAAACACAAAAUAAUGUCUCGUAUCAAACAAAUGGCGAAACAUUAUAAAAUGUUCAAGGGCUACUGUCCUUUUGAGGACUUGUAUUAUCCAAAAUUAGCAUGAUCAUAGAUUAGGCUUGGUCCAAAUGACAGCCCCUCAAGUCCUCAACCAUCCGCCCUUUACAUAUGGUCCCAAAACUAAUCAAUGAUCAACUUUCAAUUCCUUAACUCAGAAGGCAUAAAUAACUAGAAUGAGCCCACAAAUUCAUUAAUUAAGAGAUAAAUAAUUAUCUAGUAGGAUAGCUGUCACAUUUGAGUGAAUGAGAGAGAAAGUCUUUAAAAAUUACAUUUACUAAGUGAGUAUAUCACUUUAUUAUAAAAAUUAUUCUAGAUUGCAAUUGCGGCCACAUUUUCUUGUAAUGUCAAGAGACCAAAUAAAACUACAACCACAAUUUAUAAGCGUACUUUCUGCUUGUUCACAAUUUACAUUACUCUAGGACUUUAUAACAAUAUUACACAUAAUUUUUUGCUUUGACGAGGUAAACAUUAUGAUAGUUUAUAACUAAUGAAAUUACUUAACAAUGAAACAUGAAUUAUUCUUUGUAAACCAUAGGAAUCAAAGAGAUAAAUUUUAUAACACACACAUUUUGUAUUUUGUUUAUCAACUGAACUAAAAAAAAUAUUGUGAAAAAUAAGAAUUAUGCUCUUACGUGAAUGUAUUUACCAAUAAUUUUUGGUGAACCCCACCUAAUUUUGGAUUGCUUUUCACUUUCCUAACGUGAAGGCAAAGCCACCGGUCACCGAACCACGAAUUCGAUAUUGCAAUUACUCGACCUAUCAUUAUCAAUAUUGUGCAAAGAAUUAACUUAAUUGAGUUAGAGAGAAAAUAAUAAAUUAAAGAAUUAGAAAUAGCUUUCAACCCAGAAAGAAGGUGAAUGACAAUUGAAACGUUUCUAAAUUUUUUAAUUUACGAUGACAACGNNNNNNNNNNNNNNNNNNNNNNNNNNNNNNNNNNNNNNNNNNNNNNNNNNNNNNNNNNNNNNNNNNNNNNNNNNNNNNNNNNNNNNNNNNNNNNNNNNNNNNNNNNNNNNNNNNNNNNNNNNNNNNNNNNNNNNNNNNNNNNNNNNNNNNNNNNNNNNNNNNNNNNNNNNNNNNNNNNNNNNNNNNNNNNNNNNNNNNNNNNNNNNNNNNNNNNNNNNNNNNNNNNNNNNNNNNNNNNNNNNNNNNNNNNNNNNNNNNNNNNNNNNNNNNNNNNNNNNNNNNNNNNNNNNNNNNNNNNNNNNNNNNNNNNNNNNNNNNNNNNNNNNNNNNNNNNNNNNNNNNNNNNNNNNNNNNNNNNNNNNNNNNNNNNNNNNNNNNNNNNNNNNNNNNNNNNNNNNNNNNNNNNNNNNNNNNNNNNNNNNNNNNNNNNNNNNNNNNNNNNNNNNNNNNNNNNNNNNNNNNNNNNNNNNNNNNNNNNNNNNNNNNNNNNNNNNNNNNNNNNNNNNNNNNNNNNNNNNNNNNNNNNNNNNNNNNNNNNNNNNNNNNNNNNNNNNNNNNNNNNNNNNNNNNNNNNNNNNNNNNNNNNNNNNNNNNNNNNNNNNNNNNNNNNNNNNNNNNNNNNNNNNNNNNNNNNNNNNNNNNNNNNNNNNNNNNNNNNNNNNNNNNNNNNNNNNNNNNNNNNNNNNNNNNNNNNNNNNNNNNNNNNNNNNNNNNNNNNNNNNNNNNNNNNNNNNNNNNNNNNNNNNNNNNNNNNNNNNNNNNNNNNNNNNNNNNNNNNNNNNNNNNNNNNNNNNNNNNNNNNNNNNNNNNNNNNNNNNNNNNNNNNNNNNNNNNNNNNNNNNNNNNNNNNNNNNNNNNNNNNNNNNNNNNNNNNNNNNNNNNNNNNNNNNNNNNNNNNNNNNNNNNNNNNNNNNNNNNNNNNNNNNNNNNNNNNNNNNNNNNNNNNNNNNNNNNNNNNNNNNNNNNNNNCCUGGAAUCGCGGUAGCACUUGAACACAUAUUAUGCGUGGCAGGGCUGCAAAGAAGCCGCAAUGAUUAGCGCUGAUGCGCGGCACCUGACAUCUGUGUUCCUCAGACAUUUUUUUUUCUCGAUACCUGAAAACGAGAUCGGAACCGAUCCACCGGUGAAGAACACGAAUUUGAAUUUUCGAACUCUAAAAUAACGCAGAGAAAAAGAAAAGGAAGAUUAUUAUUAUUACCGUUAGGGAGAAGGAUGAUGGAAAAUCGAGGGGGAAAGGGAGAGGUUGGUGGUUAUAAGGGAAAGAAAAGAAAGGGAAGGAAUCUAGAAUUUGAAGGAAAGUUGCAAAGAAAAGAACCUCCACACGCAGACGCACACGAUACACCAGCGAAACGAAAAUUCCAGAAACGCUUUCUUCUUCUCUCUAUCUAACUGGGUUUUCUAACCAAACGGAGCGCAACGCAACGCGUCUAUUGAAACGGUCUUUUUAAGGACGUUCUUUCUCUCUCUUGGUUAGCCGUAUGGGGUCAUGAUUCUGUAUCUUCUUCAAGCCGUCUACGCUAUACUUCUUUUUCUCUUAUUAUUAAUAAUUAAUCAUCACUCUAUUAUCCUCCUUAAUUAUUUAAGAAAAGUAAAAAUCAUGCAUAUUAGUAAAAUCUUUAUUGAGAAAGUCACUCUACUAUUUUUAAUUGAGUGAUUAUAUUUUGAUAAUUAAAGAUUUUACACAUUCAAUAUUUUUUUCCUUUUUUAGCUGUAUUAUCAAUUAAAUUAUUUUUUUCCUCCUCUUAAGGGGUAAAGAACUCAAGUUAUUUAAGAAACAUUUUUUAUUUUUUAUUUUUGGAAAAAAAGGAAAUCAACCCCAAAAAGCACUAAAACCCGCAAGUUAUUCAAAAAAUAGUUUUCAAUUUAAUUUCACGGUUCAUUAGUAUUUUGAAAUGUGCAUUUUACAAAAUAAAUAAAUAUUUAUUUUAUAUAAUUAAAAUUUAUAAUAUGACAUUUUAUUUUAAAUUUUCAUUUAGUUUAAAUUUAUCACCGAAGAUUAAAAGCACAUAUUUAUUAUUUUUUUAAAAGAAGCACAUUUAUUUUAAGAAUUAAAAUAAGUAAUUGUUGGUAGAAAUUGAAAAAAGAAAACGUCGUUUUGUAUUUCUAGGAUUAAGAGUAAGUUUAUAAUAAGGUAUUAACACUAAUCAAUUAUCUGUCUUAAAAUCAUUUACUAUAUAUUAUCUUUGUUUUAAAAUUGAAAUAAUUAAGCAGCAGGCCAAUUUGGACCGUCUCGACGGUGAAACACACGGCGCCGCGCGGAUAAGGGCAGAAAGAGUCCACGGGAUACGAAGCAUAAGUAUUCUGGCCGUACAUUCGUUCAUUUCUUUAUUAUUUUCUUUUAAAAAAAAGUCACUUUUUUUAUAUGUGUAUAAAAAAUGAAAAUAUAAAAUUUAGUUUUUAAAAGAAUAAUAAAUGUGGUAAAUAUAUUUGUUCAUUAAUUUCUGUUUGUCACGUGGCACAAAUGAAUAAAUUUAUCAUUAAAAUGAUUUUCAACAUAAUCAUUUCUAAUUAUCAGUAAAGGCAUGUUUUAUCAUAUAAUAUUUUUUUUACUUUUUGUGUUUUUACUCCACUGAUAUAAAUGUGUCCGUGAAAGAUGUAAAUACAAAAUUUAGUUUCAGAGAGUAUAAAAAGUGUGAUAAAUAUAUUCGGAUCUUAACAAUAAAUUAUAACUAAUUAUUAUAAUUUAAAAAAAUUUAUAAUGAUUGCGAUAAAAUUUUGGGAGAGUUAUAUCACAUUGGUAAGUGUUUAUAUUCUAUUAUAUAAUUUCUAAGCUAUCAACAUACAAAAAAUUAUUGUAAAAUGAUAAAAAAAAAUUAUUAUUUCUAUUUAAUCAAAUAUUAUUUAUUUAAUUAUUUUUUUAUAAUUUUUUCAUAAUAAAAUAUGAAUGUCUAUUUGUAUAUGCAAUGACAUCAAAUUACAAAUUAUAAUAAAAGUUUGUUAAUUUUUAAAUUAAUUUUUUUAAAAUUAUAUACAAUUAUUUUUUAUUGACUAAUCAUUUAAGAAAUCAUAAUCUUAAAAAAAUCAUUCCCAAAGAGGUGGGCAUUUUUUACAUUACAAUUAUAAUUUUUCCUAAAAAUUAUUCAUGAAUCUAAUUUAACUAUAAUACUUUCCAAUAAAUAUUUUUUACUUGAAUUUUUUCAUCAAACAUGGGGAGUCAAAAAAAAAUAUUUACGAGUUUAUAAAAUAAAGUAUUCUUUUUUCUUUUAAACUCAAUUUAGUUUAUGAGUUUUUAUUAUUAAUUUAAAGUUAAUAAAACAAAUACAAAAAAUAAUUAUUUAUUAUAUUUUUUCUUAUUUAAUUGUUUUUCUUUCACCUUAAUUUCAUGAUCUGAAUUUUAGUUAAUAACCAAAUCAAAAUUUUAAACUUUUUUUCUUUCACCUUAAUUCCAUCAAAAUUUUAGUUAACAUUUUGUUAUUAACGUCUAGAUAUAUUUGUCACUCGUUUUAUAUUUUUGGAGAUUAAAUUUUAUAUUUUCAUCUGAUAGAUGGGAAGACAAAAAAUCAAAAAAGUAUUAUAAGACAAAUAUAUUCUUAUGCUGAUAAUUAAAGAUGAUCACGUUGAUAAUUAUUUUAAUGACAAAUUUAUCUGUCUGUAACAUAUAGAUUAUUUCAUUAAUAGUGACGGAUGAAAGUUAAUCACAAAAUAUAUUUAUCACACAUUAAAAAAAAUGAUUUGACAUUGAGGAUGCAUUGUUUAGUGUAUACAAGUCCUCUGAAAUUGACAAGUCGAAUGUUGUUUGCCUCGGAAAAUGGUUCUUAAACAUGUAUUAUUGUCAACUGGGUGAUGUGACCCCAUUAAACCCAUUUUUUAUUUUAUUACACACUCAAAUAGGUGACAAAAUACAAAGGACUGAAAGGUGUAGCUGCCAACAACACUAGAGACUAGAGAGAAAUUUAACCGAUGUAGUACAUGAGGUGAAUUUUAAGUUUUUAACCAUGUCUUUUUUAUAAAAAAAGGAUAAAAAUUUUAUAAUUUUAUUCAACCAUGUUUUUCUUUAACUAUUAGAAAGUUAUAUAUUUAGUGUGUGUUUGAUUUAUAGUAACUUUCAAAACACCUAAAUAGAGAAGCUUGGGUCAUAUUUUGAAUCAAUCCUCAGUUUUAAUAACUUUUGAGUUUCAAUGACUGGUUUUUUUAGACAACCUUCAUGCUAUGUUAUUAGAUCAAUUCCUAAAGUUGGUCAAAUCUAAUAAAGAUUUUUUCCCCCUAAAACAUAAACAAUUGCCAACCUGUUGUUGUGCACAAUGAUUUCAAUUGUUACCGUCUAAUGGGGUGGGAAAAGCACACAAUAAAUAGCAAGCUAAGAGAAAAAUAACAGCAUACAAACAGAAGAACACUCACAAGCAAGAAAUCUCACUCUCUCAACUCAAAAUAGACAAAAAAUACACAACAUAAGGUGAAGGCAGCUCAACGACAAUCUGUUUCGCAGAAUAAAAAGAAAUAAAAAUAAUUUAAAAUGAAAGUUUUGAAUUAUAAAAAUGUGAAUCCCAAGUUAUUUUGCUUUUUUUUUUCUUUUCAAAGGGGGCAUGAGGCUGAAAUUUAGGUUUUAGAAUGCAAAACAGGUUUCUCACCACAUUUGGGCCAUAGGCCAAGGCACAGAAAUGCAACAACUCUUAGAAAAAUUUAUUUUUUAUUUUCUUAGAACAUUUAAUUACAAAAACAUCCAUUUUAAAACGUUUUCUCCUUUUUCAAAACAUUUAUUUAUUAAGUAGUAAUAUAAAAAAAAUUCUAGCACAAUAUAUAAUAUAGUAAAGGAAAAUUAUAAUUAAGGUAUUACAUAAUACACAAGUAAAUACAUAAAUAAAAAGUCUUGUUACAUAACAAAAAUUGGUUUUUGCUCAAUCGACAAACAUGAGAAAAACGAAACGAAAGUGGAAGAAGAAGCAGAUUCACUAGAAGAAAAAAUGAUGUAUCAGGAAACAAAUUGGCAAGAGCUAGGGGAUUUGAUCACAUUAUGGUUGAAACAAAUUGACAUGUCUCGGUACAAUUGCUAAGAAAUGGUUGUCUUUCAAUUCAUCCAUAUUUUAGUCUAGUUCAAGAUGGUUGUCUUUAAACAAAUUGACUCACUAGAGUAAUGUAAAUUGUCUCGGUACAAUUGCUAGGGGAUUUGAUCACAUUAUGGUUGUCUUUCAACAUUUUUUGAUAGAUGAUGUUUCCAUCAUUUUUCACAUACUUAGAGAGGAGAACAAGACGCCGAUUGUUUAGCUAAGCAUGACUUGGGAUUGGAGGGGGAUUGGGGACAAAGUUUUUGAGUUCCCUCUAUAUUUUUUGUCUUUAUGUUUGUUGGUUGAUGUCUUGCAUAUAAAUUUUUACAGAGACUUAUGAAGUUUUUUUUCCCCUUCCUUUCAAAAAAAAAAAAAAAGACUAGAAGAAGGAAAAAAGAAGAGUGAGGCAGGAGAGAAGAGGAAAUGUUAAGAAGGGGAUGGAUAGAAUAGGAAAUUAAAAACCAAAAAUUUAGGGGUCGGGAAAGAGAAAAAAGGGCUUUCAAUAUAUCAUGGGCCUUGUUUGAUUAACGUGUUAAGCCAUAACCCAACUCACAUUUUGGUUCCAUCUUUAAAUUCCAGUGGCAUCCAAAAAAAUUCAAACAUGCGCAUACAAAAUUUCUGAACGGGGUCUAGCUCACCGCUGGUACCGUAUUAUGGAUAAAAAAAUUCCAACAUGUGAAAAUUAUGGUUAUAUAUAAACUAAAAAGGAUAAUCAAAAUGGGCCCUACACAUUUACUAUUUACUACAACUAGAUGAUAUUCAUGUGUAAUAAUCAUGGUAAAAUAUCAUAAUUUCUACUACUAAUAAAUCAAUAAAUAUUUUGUAAAAAAAACAAUAAAUAUAAAUUAGUGUGUAUUCUCCUCAAUGACUAUAAAUUCAAUCAAUGUAAACAAUAUAUACAUGGGUCACACCAACCAUUCAUAUCAAAUAAGGUUGGAAGUUUUAACAAUAUUAUUUACCAAAUCAAAUGAAUCCUAAAAUUUGUGCUCCAACUACACGUUUUUUUUUUUCACUUAUACUCAAAUCAUACUUUGAUUAGUAUGAUUAAUUUGAUUACUUUUAAAGAAUUCAUUUUGAUCAUAUUUAAAACUUUGGUUAAAUUACAAUUUUGAUCUCUUGUAAUUUUAAAUCUUUAAUUUUGCUUCUUCUAUUUUUAAAUCAAGACAUUUAAUUCAUCAUAUUUUUCAAAAUAAAAAAUUUUGACCUUUUUCUCAGUCAACGUAUAACUUAGAUAAGCCCUUGACAUGAUACUACUUAUGUGAAUAAAUAUUAAAUAAAGUGGAAAAUAAUUUUUUUAAUAGGAAUUUAACAUUGAUCUUUUAUUCAUAAAUAAAAUAAUAAAAUUUUAACACACUUAUUUUGUUUAGUUAACUAUGUUAAAAUUAUUUUCUAUGUAUCAUUAGUCAAUAAUUAUUAUUAUUAUUUCAAAUCAUCAAAAUUUAUAAAAUAAAAAAUAUUUAAUGUAUAAAUAUUUUUAAACUUAUUUUAUAUCAUUUUAUUUUGAACAGAUUGCAUAUUUUUAUUUUAUCAAUUUAUAAUUAAAUUUCAUAAAUUAAUAUGUAAAUUAUUUGCAUUUUAAAAAAAAUUGAUUUUAAUAUGCAUAUUAUUUUUUUCUCUAAUUAUUUACAUAAAAUUAUUCAUAAGUAAAACAAUAAAACACUUAUUUUUUUAGUUAACUACAUUAACAUUAUUUUCUAUGUAUCAUCAAUUAAUUAAGAGUUAUUAAUUUUUUUCAUACUAUCAAAAUUUAUAAAUUAAAAAUAUUUAAUAUAUAAUUUUUUUAAUUCUACGUAAAUAAAUAGAGUAAAAAUAAUUUGUAUGCUAAAAUCAAUUUAAGAAAAAUUAUGCAAAUAAUUUACAAAUUAAUUUAUAAAAUUUAAUUAUAAAUUGGUAAAAUAAAAUAAAAUUAUGUCAACUAUUCAAAAUAAAAACAUAAAAUAAUAUAAAAUAAAAUUAAAAAGAUUAUAUAUUAAAUAUUUUGUAAUUUAUAAUUUUUUGUAAUUUUUUUAGAAAAUUAAUAACUCUUGGCUAAUAAUAUAUAGAAAAUAAUGCUAUUAUAUCUAACUAAACAAAAUAAGUGUGUUAGUGGUUGAAUGAACCAAAAUUACUUAUUUUAAAAAAUAAGAAAACUAAAUGUCUUGAUUUAAUAACAAGGAAAUCAAAAUCAUAGAUUUAAAAUUAUAUGGACAGCAACAUUACAAUUUAGCCUUAAAACUUUGAUGGACGACCACGUGAAUCUAAUUAAGUUAAUUAAAAAGGAUGUGCAUCCAAAUUUUAUUGUCGUAAAUCUAAGUUAUGACAUAAUAUUUAUUAUUAUUAUUAUUAUUAAUCCUAUAAUAUAUAUUCUCUUCGGUCUUAAUUAUAAAUAACAAAAAUCUUUUAUUUUUUUUCUCAAAUAUAAUCAAAUCUUACUUACCUAUUUUUAUUUAACCGACUCUUUCCAAGAUUAUCUAUUUAAUAAAAUUAAGAACUUUUUUAUGUUUGAUAUCAAGUUUCAAUAAUUAAUAAUUUUAAAAAAAUGUUUGUAUUUUUUAAAAUAACACAAUUUAAUAAAUUUAACUAAUCUUUUUAAUAAAUAUGAAAUAUUUCUCUUCUUUUUUUCCUUAUAAUCAACAACAGAAUUCAGUAUGAUUUAGUUCUAUCUUUUUGUUAGAUUAUAAGCUUGCCUUCAAUUAAAUUAUUGCGGUGUGGAAAGGAGUAAAUAAACUUGUCUUCUCUUUUAUUUGAAAUCUCCUCUCAUCUUUAACAAACCUUUUGUUUUUUACAAGGCAAAUAAUAUUAUUAAUGUGGUAAAAGAGAAAAACUUACUGGGUACCAGAAGUACCAACAAGCUUCUCAAAGUGAUUACAGAAGUUACCCAAUGAGAAUAGUGACUCAUGAUACAUUAUUCCACAUAAUUAACGCCCACCAAAUUAUCCAAGCAAUUUAAAAUUACCCCCUAUACAAUUACGUCGGAGGGUCCUUUCUAUAAACUAUUUAUGUAACAGGGUUUCUUUCGAAAGUUAUUACGCAAGGGGUCUGUUUUGUAUGAAAGUCACCAGUGUCAUUAGCAAUAAGUGGGAACUACCAUUGUCAUUGGCGAGAAAGGAGAUGACAUGAACGGUCCCGCCCCGCCAUUGCUGUUGGCGAGACAGGCUGAUGUGGUCGUCCCACCAUUGGCAAGUCUGGUGACGUGGAGAGAGUUGCCAAUGCUUCUGGCGAUAUAGGUUGCAGGCUAGGGCUCAAACGUCACAUGCACGCAGAGGUCACAUGUAGCCUAGGACAGUGGUCUCGUCCCUGGAAAUGGCGAGACUAGUGUCGGGAAUUCUAGUUUCCUUUAAAUAGGCAGCUUUUGCCUUGAAAAUUUGUAGUAAUUUUGAAGAGAGAAACAAAGAAAGCACACAGCACCGUGUUCAAUCAAGAAUUUACAAAUCUUACGUUCAUUAAAUAGCCCAGCUUUUGCCUUGAAGUUUCUCAUUCCCUCCUUAUUUAUUUAAAGUAACAAUUUUUAUUGUUGUUUAGUCAAUAAUUUACGAGCCUUGCGCUCAUUCUCUUUCAAGUUAAGUUUUUAAAUAAUUUUUAUCAUUUACAAAUUAUUUAUUUUGAAGUAAUAAUUUUUGUGGUUAGAAUCAAAUUUGAAGCUGAAGUUUAAGUAUAAUAAUUUUUGGAAUUAAAUUUUUUAUUUUGAAAUUAUUACGAGUAAUUAUUUAUAAGCCUUUGUUGAUGGUUUUUAUGCCUUAGAAAUUUUUACAUGUGACCCUUCCAGUUUUUGAAGUUAAAGAAUUAUUCACAAAUUAUUUAAUCGGAGUAAUAAUUUUUUUGUUAGAAUUAAGUUUUAAUUUGUAGUUUAAGUUUAAUAGAGUAAGCAAAUAGAUUUUUUUUUUUAUUUUUAUGAUUCACAAAUUAUUUAUUUGAACUAAUAAUUUUUUUUGUUAGAAUAAAAUUUGAAGCUGAAGUUUAAGUGUAUUGAUUUUUGUAAUUAGAAUUUUUAUUUCGAAGUUAUUUUUAUUACGAUUAAUUAUUUAUAAGCCUUUGUUGAUGUUUUUUUUUCUUAAAAAUAUUUACGUGAUUUCCUUCCAAAUUUUGAAGUUAAGGAAUUAUCCAAAAAUUAUUUAACUGGAGUAAUAAUUAACAUAAUAUAUUCUACAAUUAACAAAAAUAAAAUAAAAUAAAAUAUAUUAUAACAAAUAAAUUAAAAUACAAAGAAAAUUUAAACGCAAAGAAAAAAUUAAAACACAAAGAAAAAUUAAAACGCAGGAGAAGAAGAUAAAAUAUUAUAGAGGAACUUGGGGGAGAGGUUACAAGGGUAUACGCGUUCUAACGGAAGUUUUUUUUUUAAAGAAUGAACAUGCAACAGUCACAUUAUUCUCGCCAUUAGUAAUGACGAUAUAUGCUCAAAAAAGCUGACAUCCUGCUCUGCAACCUACGCUGCAACCCUAGCUGUGCAUGUCUCGCCAAUAGAAAGGGCGAUACUCUCUCCACGUCAUUAGACUUGCUAGAAGCAAUGACGGGAUGGUCACAUCAGUCUGACUCGCCAACAGCAAUGGUGACAUGUUCAUGUAAGCCGCUCUCUUGUCAAUAACAAUGACGGUUCAGGUCAUAUCGCCAAUAACAACUGCGACAAACUUGUAAAAAUGACCCCCCUUUAUAAAUAGUUUAAAAGCAUACCCUCUUUAUUAAAUAUUUUGUAGAUGAAACCCUCUUAUGUAAAUUUGCCCCAUAAUGUUUCAUUCAUCCCUUCACUCUCAAAACAGAUUUUCUUUCAAACACCACUGAGGAUUAUUGCGUCAUUGACAAAAUUAUUCCGGUCUAAGCUUUUUAGGUUACGUUUAAUGUUACUGUUUAUCAUCACAAACUUAUGCAACCAAAAAAAGUAUAUCAAAUCAAUAUUUGAAAAUAGUAUCAAAUGAUAACAAUUAUAGAUAUUUAAAAUUACAAAAAUUAAAAUUAUUAACGUUCAUCACUUUUAAGAAUUAUACCAAUAUUCGUACAUUUAGAAUCUAAAUUAAAAGUGGAAUUGACGUGGACUGUCAAUAUUUAUUUUUUAUAUAAUCAAUCAAUAAAAAAGCAAUCUUUAAUAUAAUUUUCAGAUCAAUUAUUAUAAAAAUCAAUUACAUGCAGUGAUGGAUCCAGAAAACUUUUUUAAAGGGCCAAAAAAAUUAAUCUAUAAUAUUUUUAUAGACAAAAAAUAUUAUAAACUUUUACAAAUACAAAUCUCAUGAUAAAAAUAUUAAAAUAAUCAAGUUUUUAGAAACUUAAAAUAUAAGAUGGAUAAAAUUAGUAUUAUUUUAUUUUCUAUUUUAUCUUUAAUAAUUUUUUACAUUUUUUCCUAAAAAAUAUAUUUUAUGAGGGCAACUCAAUUUUUUUAUGGAAGCAAAAAUAAUAAUUAAGUAUAUUCUAAUAACAAAAUUUACUUAAUGGAGACAAUUGCCCCCAUAUCCACGAUGUAAACUUGUCCCUGAUUACAUAAUUAUUUGUGAUUAAAUAAUAAUAUAAUUUAUUAAGACCCUAAUACAUAUAUUAUUUAUUUAAAAAUUAAUUGAAUAUUAGAAAUUUAAAUUAUUAUUUCAAUAAAAAUAAAAUUUAAAUAUAUUAAAUUAAAUGAAUUACGUCAAAGCAUAUAAUUACCUUUUUUUUUAAAGAAUACAAUUACCUGGUUAAGCCUGAGUAUAGUUCUAAAACUUAGAUUACACAAAAAAGGUUUUAUUUUAGCAUUUAAUUAAAAUGUAUUAAAAAUAUAAAAAAUUUGUAUUAUUAUUUAUAAUAUAUUAUAAUGAAUUUUAUAAUAAUUAUUUUAAAUAUUAUAGUAUUCUGCAUACACUUAAUUAAUUAGUAAUAUAAUUAUAUUAUAUUCAAAAUACUGAAGAUUUUUAAAAUUUUAUAUUAAAUAAAACAUGUUAUUGUUAUUUUUACAAUAAUGAAAUUAGAACUUAAAAUAUUUUAUGCAAAGUAUCUAAAUUUCUUACCACUAAUCACUAAUCAGUCCAAGUAAGUUUGACAUUUCCUUUUUAAAUUGAUUGAUUGAUAAAGUAGAAAAUGCAUUUUAAAAAAAUAAAAUCAAAACGCAACGCAUUGGGUGAUAGCCUUAGCCACCACCCUUUGGAUGGAAAUUUCACACACACAAAAAAAACAGAAGCUAAACGCGUAUUUUUGGGACACCAAAACCAGAACAUUGGGUUUUCUCUUUUUUCUCUUUUCCCCUUCUGUCCUCGAAUUUCCGAUCAAUUCCGAUUUCAACAACAGCUAGGGUUUCGAAAUCGACCACACCUUCUCCUCCCUCUUUCCCCAACACACACGAUCGCGAUGCACCUCUAGGGUUUCUCCCUCUCCCUGGUUCGAAAUUUCGAUUCCCGUACAUGCCAUCGGUGGAGGAAGAAGAUGUAUAGCAAUUUCAAGGAGCAAGCGAUAGAAUACGUGAAGCAGGCCGUGCAGGAAGACAAUGCCGGAAACUACGCGAAAGCGUUCCCUCUCUACAUGAACGCCUUGGAGUACUUCAAGACGCAUCUCAAGUACGAAAAGAACCCUAAGAUCAAGGAAGCCAUCACGCAGAAGUUCACCGAGUACCUGCGCCGGGCCGAGGAGAUUCGGGCCGUGCUCGACGACGGCGGCCCCGGUCCGGCCUCCAACGGGGACGCGGCUGUGGCUGCAAGGCCCAAAACCAAGCCAAAGGACGGUGAAGGCGGUGGCGACGGCGAGGACCCCGAGCAGGCCAAGCUCCGGGCCGGGCUCAACUCGGCCAUCAUAAGGGAGAAGCCCAACGUGAAGUGGAACGACGUCGCAGGGUUGGAGAGCGCCAAACAGGCCUUGCAGGAGGCUGUGAUUUUGCCUGUAAAGUUCCCUCAGUUCUUUACUGGUGAGUGAGUUUCCAUUUUGUUCUUGUGCUUGACAAGUGUGUAAGAGAUUUUCUUCUGUGAAAUUUGGUUGAAUGUUUGUUUCCUUCUGAUCUUAUUUACAGGGAAAAGACGACCCUGGAGAGCUUUCUUGUUGUAUGGACCUCNNNNNNNNNNNNNNNNNNNNNNNNNNNNNNNNNNNNNNNNNNNNNNNNNNNNNNNNNNNNNNNNNNNNNNNNNNNNNNNNNNNNNNNNNNNNNNNNNNNNNNNNNNNNNNNNNNNNNNNNNNNNNNNNNNNNNNNNNNNNNNNNNNNNNNNNNNNNNNNNNNNNNNNNNNNNNNNNNNNNNNNNNNNNNNNNNNNNNNNNNNNNNNNNNNNNNNNNNNNNNNNNNNNNNNNNNNNNNNNNNNNNNNNNNNNNNNNNNNNNNNNNNNNNNNNNNNNNNNNNNNNNNNNNNNNNNNNNNNNNNNNNNNNNNNNNNNNNNNNNNNNNNNNNNNNNNNNNNNNNNNNNNNNNNNNNNNNNNNNNNNNNNNNNNNNNNNNNNNNNNNNNNNNNNNNNNNNNNNNNNNNNNNNNNNNNNNNNNNNNNNNNNNNNNNNNNNNNNNNNNNNNNNNNNNNNNNNNNNNNNNNNNNNNNNNNNNNNNNNNNNNNNNNNNNNNNNNNNNNNNNNNNNNNNNNNNNNNNNNNNNNNNNNNNNNNNNNNNNNNNNNNNNNNNNNNNNNNNNNNNNNNNNNNNNNNNNNNNNNNNNNNNNNNNNNNNNNNNNNNNNNNNNNNNNNNNNNNNNNNNNNNNNNNNNNNNCCUCCUGGAACGGGAAAAUCAUAUUUAGCCAAGGCAGUUGCAACGGAAGCCGAGUCCACGUUUUUCAGGUAAACUAAUUGAUUCUAAUUCUAUGGUUUAGGAAAAUGGUAAAAGUUUAUAGAAUUGAGAAACCUAUGUGUCUGCAGUUUACCAGAUUGCAUGGGAAAUCAUUGGAAUGAAUUCUGAUUCAUAAGUUGAAAUAUGUAUGUGUCUCAAUUACUGCAUAGCAUACCCUUUUAUAGGCAUUAAAACUUUAAUUCAAGGUAGUUAUAAUUGGGAAUUUACCUUAAAUCAGGUAAAUUCAUAUUCCAUAAAUGUUAUGAAUGUAGGUCCAUAAGUGGACAUGUUCUUGCAAGCAUUUUUAACUUUUGAAUUCUUCAUCAGUGUUUCUUCAUCAGACCUUGUUUCAAAGUGGAUGGGUGAAAGUGAAAAGCUGGUUUCAAACCUUUUCGAAAUGGCUCGAGAAAGUGCCCCUUCUAUCAUAUUUAUUGACGAAAUUGAUUCCCUGUGUGGUCAGCGUGGAGAAGGCAACGAGAGUGAAGCUUCAAGACGGAUUAAAACAGAGCUUCUGGUGCAGAUGCAGGUAAUAGUUUUAAUAGUUUGUUGGUUUACAUUUAAAUUGCAAUAUAUAGCAUAUGCGCGGCAAGCUGUCAAAUCCCAGUUGUAUGGCCAUAUAUGAAUGUGGUUGUAAUUUAGUUUCAAAUCAUGAAGAAAGACAUAACUAAUUUCUUAAAUUCUUUGAUAUAAACCGAUUUAGGUUCAAGAAUGUAUGCUUCAUUUUCAAAAGAAGGUUUUCUUCCUAGGGCUAUCUCCUCAGUGGCUGGGUGCUUAUUAACACAUCUUGCAUACUUCAAUUUUUAUGGUUGGAAAGAAGACAAGCCAAAUAGUAAACCUUCAUUUAAAACAAUCCAUCUAAAUUUUUCUUGUUCCAGCAUGUGAGGAGGCUAUGGUAGUUGAAUAGCAGAUCAAGAUUGAGCUAAUUCAUGCUGGCCCUUGUUACUUAUUGGUUUUUUGAGUCUUCAAGUCAUUUUUGAGUGUACAAUAACGACAACACUGGGAAAUAGCUUUAGUUCUAUGCUUUUCUUAAACCUCUAAUAAGCAUUUGUCUCUGUUGUUUUUCUUCUUCAAAACAAUUCCUAGUCAUGAUUGCCACCUUAGAUUUAAAGUCCCGCUUUCAGUGUACUUAGCAUGUCCUGUCCUGUGCUUGUUUGAUGAGAUGUUCACACUUCACAAACAACGUUGCAUAUUUUCAAUUCGGUUUUGGCUCCUCUAAAGUGAAGGAGUGCGCUUUAGAGGAUAAAAUGCACUUACAAGUUACAAUCAUUGAUUAGAAAAUCAAUGGUUGAAAAUUGUGAUAAAAUCAAAUCCCUGUUUAACAAAAUCUAAAAUUUAUCAUAAUCUCAAUAGUUAAUUUUCUAAUUGAUGGUCAUUAUUUCACUUUAUCCUCUAAAGUGCAUUCCCCUCACUUUAGAAGAGCCAAAAUCCAUUAAAUUGUUCUCUAUCUUAUAUCUACAUCUCAGAAAAGGAAUUCCAGAUCUGUGUGGCAUUGUGGCAAUCACUGAUUUGCGGUGGUCAUGUAGGUUUUCAUGUUUGUGUGUGAAUUGUUAUUUGAUUAAGUCAUCAUAUUUGACUUUUUAAAAAUCUACUUUCAACAGGAUAUGUUGUUAUUAUGUAACAAAACUACUGAAGCAUGCUUUACUGGUUGCCAAACUCCCAGAAGCACUUAAGUGUUAUUAUCCUUGUCCUUGACCUGUCAAAAUUUCUCAAGUAACUUGGUUGAUGGAUUUUAGUCAUAUAUUAAGUUGCAUGUGGUAUUUGACAUUUGAGUUGCAUAUCAAAAUAUUUCCCCCUCAUAAGUAAUCCUGUUUUCUGUUUUACUGCUUUAUUUUAAACUGAACCCAGCAGUUACUAGUUUGUAUAAUAUUGUCAUAAUAUGGCUUGCUCGUAUAUAUUUUAUUCUCAUUUUAAUUCACUUUUUUGCUAUUAACAUCAGGGCAGUUUCCAACAUUUUUGGCAUUUCUUCUCUCCUUUUUGAUUCUCUUUAUUUAAUGUACUUUAUCCACAUACUUUGUAGGGUGUAGGACACAAUGAUCAGAAAGUUCUUGUUCUUGCAGCAACAAAUACGCCCUAUGCCUUAGACCAGGUCAGACAGAAAUAAUUUUGUUUUGCGUUCCCAUAUAGAAUCAAUACUAUGUUGUUUUUCACUAAUCAAUUUGUAAUUGUAGGCAAUAAGGCGUCGUUUUGAUAAGCGCAUAUAUAUUCCGCUACCAGAUUUGAAGGCUCGCCAACACAUGUUCAAGGCAAGGACAAUAUACUCGAUUGUUGACAGGUUUUUGUUAUGCUAUAUAAACCUAGCAAAUGGUUUUACCAUGCUUUUUUUCUGGCUUACUAAAUUGAGCAGGUGCAUCUAGGAGAUACUCCCCAUAACUUGACUGAAAGUGAUUUUGAAUACUUGGCUAGCAGGACAGAGGGUUUUUCUGGUUCAGAUAUAUCUGUCUGUGUAAGUUUUACUGCUAUAUGAAAUGACUGGUUUCAUUAAUCUUAUACUUGAUGAAUUUUUAAGUAAAAAGUUUUUGGACCUCCUCUUCAGGUAAAGGAUGUUUUAUUUGAACCUGUUCGCAAAACCCAAGAUGCAAUGUUCUUCUUUAAGAAUCCUGAGGGUAUGUGGAUCCCAUGUGGACCUAAGCAACAGGGUGCAGUACAAACCUCAAUGCAAGAGCUUGCUGCAAAAGGACUUGCUUCUAAGGUAUUUAAUGUGUUAAUAGUUUUUUAUGGUAGUAGUACUGUACCGAGUGUCUUUAAUUUUUUUUUAAUGAUAAUUGGAGAAGAAGUAGUGUUGUGAUGUCUUUGGACUAGGUUGUUAUAUCUCUAACUGAAACUGGGGAAUGCUUACUAUAAAACUUAUUGCAGAUCCUUCCGCCCCCUAUUAGGAGGACAGAUUUUGAGAAGGUACUCGCUAGACAAAGGCCUACAGUAAGCAAAGCCGACCUUGAUGUUCACGAGAGAUUCACGAAGGAAUUUGGAGAGGAAGGUUAAUACUGAUGGAAUUUCACUUUGAAGGUCCACACUGGUUUCAAAUAUAUUGUUAUAAUUUGUAAUUUAUUAGCCGUUGGAUGCAAAUGAAAUGCAUCUUUUUCAUUUUUGGGGAUGUAAAGGCCCCUUUUGUACCGAGGUGGAUUUAUAAAGGUCGAUACUCAUUUUUCUUCUUCUAAAUUGUGUAUAACAGAAUCUGAAAUGAUUUGAAAAAAUAACUUGUGUGAUGCUGGAUUUUUACUUUUGUCUGCUAUGGAUUUAGGAUGCCAUAAAUUUGGGUGCUUUUUAUUUUCGAGAUGGAUCAGAUACUCAGCAUGUUGCACUAAGCUACCUGCUGAUGGGACACAAGAGACUCAUCAUAAAAUAUGCCACGCAGAUUAGGGUAUUCAACUUAACAUAAAGUGUUUACUAAAUGUGAUGAUAGAAUGGUUUUUUAUUCAACUGCUAAGUUACUCCAGAUUCUUGUAAAAGCUCAUUAAUUGUCUGUUACUAUUGCGAUCACAUUUUAAGCACAGUUAUUCUUUUAUACUUUUUUACUGGGUCGUUAUCAGAAUUUCUGCAUAACUAAUUCUCACUCAACAAGUGUCAAUUUUAUAUAUCGUCAUGUUCACUGUAAUUAUAUAAUUCGGCGGCAGAAAUAAGAGUGCAGAUGAACUUAAGCUAUUCUUGAGUUAUUUGAACUUGAUUCAUUAAAUGUUCAAUAUAAGUUGUGUCAAAAUUUUAUACGUUCAACAUUAACAAUCCAUAAAUUAUUUGUUUAUUUAAAUUGAUGAGAAUUUGACUAGUCUUUGUUAUUUACUCAUGUAAAACUUUGUUGAUGACAUUGAAUUAAUUUUUUUUGUAGUAAUAAAAAAAUAUAAGUUUUUAUUUAUUUAUUGUAUUAUGAAAAUGUAAUAGCCUAGAAUUUUUUAAUUUAACAUAGCAUACAUUGUUGACCACAUAUUUCAAAUAUAAACGAGUAAAAUACGUUAUGAAUAAAUUUUAUUUUUUUAGCAAGGCAACAUCAAGCUUUUACUUAAAUUUGUUUAAAUAAUUGAGUCCAAAUCAUACUGUUGACACACUGACAAUGCACAUGUUCACCCACGGUUUCAUCAAUGGAAAUACAAGACAUGGUUUCACAUAGUGCACGAAUACGAUGAUAAUGCAGAAGUUUUCUGCGGAAUAGUUGAACUGAAUCCUCUAACCUUUGUGACAAGUGGAGUAGUAAGCUGGAGCGCAUGUCUCAUCUUCGCAAAUCGCAAGGUUAAAUCGAAAUUCUGUUAGUCAAUGUUGUUGAUAAAAAUAUUAAUCAAGAUAUAUAUUUAACUCAAAUUAACGGUAAAGAAGAUUACUGUAUUUAUAAUUAAAGAUAAAAAUAAAAAUUUAAAACGAUUGAGAGAAAUAUUUUUUUUGUUAAUUGUAAGAAAGAAUUAGAAGAAUGAUAGUCCUUUUAUUCGAGUAGUGUAAUUUACACAAUAUUUCAGUAGUAGAUAUUAUCUCUUUUAUCUUGUUAAUUUUUGAAAGUUUGUGCAAUAAGUAAUAAAAAGUAUUAUUAAUUUUUUUAUAUGAAUAAUAAGAAUUUAAUGGUAAUACACUGAGACAUUCUUAAUAAGUAACAGCUGACUAAGGGGAAAAGGAGUUAUUGGCAAGAAGCAUUUUCGGUUUCCCAAACUAAUCAUAGCCUGGAACCAGUCCUGGAAUUAGCCAGCAAAUUUUAGCAAUUCUAUCAACAAUUUGCCAUAGCAAUGUUAAAUGUAUAUUUUCUGAGACUUUCUCGAGUGUUGAUCGUUCAUCCUUUCUGAGUUGAAUAAUAUGUACAAUGGUCUAUCCAAGAGUGGAGAACCAAUAUCAUCACACUCACUGCCAUAAUCAGCGUUAAAAGUAUCCAGAAGUAGCCUAACGUUAAGAUGUAUUUAGGCUUUCAAUUCCUAUGACAUUCUUUCCUUAAAGUUUCCGUGAGAAUUUAUGCCUUGGAGAGAGUUGAUGGAUUCUUUGGAAAACAAAGGUCUGAUCCACUAAAGAAUCUUCGAAACACAAAAAGCAUAUUAGCCCAAACAUCACCAGUAGUCACCACAUGAACACAAACCACCUUUAAAGUGGUGAAAUCUGUUUGAAUCUCUAACAACAAUCUCUUUUCAACGAGUGAUACCAACUUAAUAAAGUUGUGGCAAUCUCCACAGACUCUGAGAUUCUUCACAAUCUGAAGGGGAAUUUCAGGAAGUGUAGCUAUUAAGCAGAAGGCAAUGGCAAGUCUUUCACUAUGAUGAGAAAUAAUAGUUUCUUUUUGUUCAUCUUCAAUAUCAUGAAACACAUAAUUUGUAUCAGGCUGAUAACCAGCAUCCCUCAACUGGAUAUUUAACUCUGAAAGUUUUGACUAAAUAUGGUCUGACAAAGGAUGCGACAAAUCACCAGCCAGGGAUGAGUAAGUCUUGUUUUUCACCUCAAUCCAACUGUACCCAGGUUCUUUUUUCACUUUUCUCUUAUCCAUAAGUUUUCUCACAUUGACUUUCUCAUGCCAGUUUCCUGCUGCAGCAUAAAUAUUGGAUAAUAGGCUAUAUGCGGCUGAGUCUUGUGGCUCUAGUGAAAUGAUUUUUUCAGCUGCAAGUUUCCCAAGAUCUAUAUUGAGAUUUACUCGAGAAGCUGCCAAGACAAUGUGCCACACAGUUGCAGCCGGGGGAAAUGGCAUCCUAUUUAUGAUAUCCAAGGCUUUUUCCAGCAUCCCUGCGUGGCUAUAUAGAUCAAUCAUGCAGGAGUAGUGCCCAUCAUUGGAUUAAUGUGAUGACCAUUGACCAUUACAUUUAAGUAAUUUUGGCCUUUUCCCACUAAGCCAGCAUGUGUCCAAGCAGAAAUGAUACCAAUGAAUGUUAUAGCAUCCACUUCCAAGUUUCGUUUCUGUAUUUCCUCAAAUAUCUCUAAUGCUUUCUUUGCCUGGCCGUGCUGUGCAUAUCCAGAGAUCAUUGAGUUCCAAGAAACCAAGUCCCUCUCCAUCUGCCUUUUGAAAACUUCAUGUGUGCUUUCAAUAUUGCCUCUCUUUGCAUACAUGGUAACAAGAGAACUACUUACACACAGAGCAUUAUUCAAUCUCAGUUUAAUUGCAUAGGCAUGGAAUUGUUUUCCUUGCUCUACUGAUGCUGUAGGAGCAGUACAGCCAUUAAUGAUGCUGCAAAAGGUAAAUUCAUUUUGUUUAAUACCCUCCCUUGUUAAUUGAUGGAAGAUUUUAGCAGCUUCUUCAGUUUCUCCUGCUUGGGCAUAUCCCUCUAGCAUUGCAGACCAGGCUAUUACGUCCUUGGCUUCAAUUAGCUCAAAAACUUUAACAGCAUCACUAAUAUUUCCUGUCUUAACAAAGGCAUCUAAAAGUGCAGUUCCCACCGAAGAUGACUUCUCAUAAUUAGUUUUGAUAACUUCUGCAUGUAUUUCAGAAAUGAAAACAGCAUGUUGCACAGUCAGGAUGGCAGAAUAAGUGAAAUGAUUUGGUUUGACACCUUCCCUUCUCAUUUGGGAAAACAAAUUCACAGCCUGGUCAGUGCCACCAUUAUGCAAGUAUCCACUGAUCAUAGCAGUCCAAGAAACCACACUUUGACACCGAUGCAUCAAGGAGAAUAAACUAAAGGCAUGGUCCAUUUCCUUGCACUUAGUCAAUGCUACCAUGAGUGCAGUUAGGAAGUUUUGGUUAGUGGAAAGCCCAUUCUUCAGAGUCAUACAGUGCAGCACUCUUACCAACCCCAACUCUUUAAGGCUAGCACAUGACUUGAUAACAGAUGCAAAUGUCGCAUGCGUAGGCUUAGCCCCUGCAAGCUGCAUGUUGUUAAACGUUUCAAAAGCUUCCAAAUCUUGUCCAUUUAUCACAUUUCCAGCAAUCAUACUAUUCCAAGAAACUGAAAUCCUUGUUCUCCAUGUUAUCAAAAACAGCUCUAGCAUCUCUUAACAUCCCCAGACUUUGAAAGCAUAUUAAUCAGAGAGUUGCAGACAAGUCUUUCUGUCACAAAGAGUUGCAGACAAGUCUUUCUGUCACAAAACCGAGAUUUAUAACCAGGGCAUGGAUUUGUAUUCCUAUAGCAACUUCACCCUGAUUGGACAAAGCUGCAAUUACAGUAGAAACAGUAUAAUAGUCAGGCCUGUAUCCCUCAACUUGCAUCAGACAGAACAAUUCCCACACCUGAUCAUUAAAUCCAUUCCAUGAAUAACCCGUGAGUAAGGAAUUCCAAGACACCACGUCUCUGUCACCCAUUUCAUCAAAAACUCUCCUCCCAUCUCCAAUAUUCCCAGUUUUCAUGUACAUAUCAACAAGAGAGUUUCCCACGCUAAGAUGGUGCACAAGUCCACACUUGACACACUGACAAUGCACUUGUUCACCCACCGUCCCAUCCAAGAAACCAGCACAAACAUUCAAAACACAAGACAUGGUAUAACUAUCAGGCGAUAAACCAGAACGAUAAAGUGAGACAAAGAGGUUGAGGGCUUCUUGGGUUUGGUCACAGCGAGAGUAACGGAAAAGCAAGUGGUUAUGCUGUUUGAGGUCUCUAAGGGGAGUUUGGUCGAACAGUUGUUGUGCAAAGCGAGGAUCACUGUCACGUAAAAGGGUCCUUGCAUUGAGGGCAACAACAUGGGAUUGCAGAAGAGGGUUAGCGUGGCAGUGAUAUUGGUAACGUCUAAUUCUGAGAAUUGGGUUGGUUGAAGUGUUGGUGAGUGCCCUUAAAAGACGCAUUCAGAGUCACAUUCUAAAGCGAGUGUUUUGUUUUUUUAAAAAAAAAAUAUAUUUAAGCAGCGUAAGGUACGAUGAUAUAAUGCUAUGUUUGUUUUCUGUUGUUGGGUUCUCUGGUAAGGAGACAGUGACAUCAUGUGAAGGGAUAAUAUGAAGCGCACGUGCGACGUGUCAUGUUCACGAGUUUAAAUUCUGUGAUUCACAAGUAGGAUUUUUUUUUCUUUUUCUUUUUUUUUUAAAAAAAGUAGGGUAUGUUUUGUUCGAAACUUUAGCUACUUUUACUUUGGUUUCAGAAUAAUAAUUUAUUAAAAUUUAUUUGAAAUCGAUACGUGAUUAUGAAAAUUAAUAAUAACUCCUAAAAAUGUUUUCUUCAAAGAAAAGCAGCUAAAAAUACUUUCAUUAAAGAAUGAUUACUAAAAGUAUUGAUGAUUAUUCUAAUUUGUACUGUAUUGAAAUGGAUAGGAUGCGAAUAGAGUAGAAGUAGUAUUUCUUUCAAUCUUAUUUGGUCCAUUUAUAUUGUUUUCAAUUGGACUAAAUAAAUAAAUAACUAGUGUCCCUCUUAAAAUUGGGCUACCACUUGGCAAUUGAUAUAUCAAUUAAAGUAUUACAUGUUUGGAUCUAAUUUAAAAAAAAUGAUAAAAAAACAUUAGUAAAUAAUAUCAUUUAAUGUUGGAGGUGUUCAGUGAAUCAGUAUAUGUUUUAGUUUUAUCCCAUAAUUUAAUUUAAAAUUAAUUUUGGCAAAUUUAAAGUGUUUUGAAAAUGAAUUUAAAUUAUAUUUUUUGAAUUGAUUUUGAUUCAUUCUAACUUGACCUAAUAUCGAUAUUUUAUCAUAAUAUGUUUUUAAUAAUAAAAAAUAAUAAAAUUUUAAUCUUAUCUUGUCUAUUUUCAAAUUUUAAUUAGGUUAAACUCAUAUACAACUUAAGGAUUGAACUAAAACCAUAUGAACAGCAUCCCAUCACACACAUAUACUACUAUAUAUUUUGGAAAAACAAUGUAGAAAUCUGGGUAUUUGUUUCCACUUAAAUAAUUGUUGGAUACUCUCUUGUUGCUGCUUACUACCACUUACCAGUUAGCAUCAUCUGCAUAUUUCAGGGUUAGGCAAUUUGGAAGCCACAUUCAUAAACAUAAAGUAAGUUACCCAUUUAAAUCCACCCACCAUACCCAUCUUUUUUUCAAUCUCUGUUAUGUUAUUACUUCUUCUUUUUAUUAUUAUUAGAAUAUUACUAGUAUUUAUUAUUAUUUAUUUUCUAGUCAUUGGUGUUUUAGCUAGAUUUGACCGUUAACGAGGAAGUUAACCCCUCGAUCUUCUCCACCACCAACAGCAUCACUUUUUAGGGUUUUUUCUUAUUUACCACCAAAGCUUAGGCCCUUGUUGCCCUCUUUUAACUCUUUUUUUUUUUUUAAAAAAAAAAGAAUAACUUUCAUGGUUGUUCAACAAUUUAGGUGUUUCCCCCUUUCAUGAAAAUUGCUAAACCCUUAAGGGUACAUGUCAAAUUUCAGUUUUUUUUUUUUUACUGAUUCGGUUUCACAGUGCUUUGGGGAAUUCAGAAUAAGCAAUUUGCGUAGGUUUUGAGCAUAGUGGAUGAACUUUUCAGUUCCUUCCACUUCCCCAAAUUCAAACUUUUUUUUUUUUUUUUUAUGAAUUUGCAGCAAGCAGUGUGGAAGAAAGAUUGUUUUUUGGUGUGAAAGAAGAGAUUUUAUUUUCUGGGGAAGAUGAUAGCCGAGAAACCUAGUUGGGUUAGGCAUGAGGGCAUGCAAAUUUUCUCCAUUGAUGUUCAACCCGGAGGGCUCAGGUUCGCUACUGGUGGUGGUGACCACAAGGUAUGGAUUUUUUUUCUGUCUUUGAGGCUCAAAAUUUGUGAAUAAUUUUGAAUUUUGGAUGUUUAGUUGUAUGGUAUUCAAGGAAGUAGCACCCCACUUUGAGUUAAGAUUUUAAGUCCUGUAAUUCUUGAAUAUGGAAUUUAAUUGCCUUCCCACCUCCUCCUUUUUUCUAUCAGCGGAAUAUUGCUUUCUAUAUGUUUCCAAUUAAUUGAAAUUUUUACAGUUUCUUAUGAAGAGUAGAAAUUGUUAACAUUUUUCGAGUGUUCUUAGGCGAAUUUUUGGCCAACCCCCAUAGGCAAUUUGUGAAGGGAAACCUGCCAUAAGGCACAAUGGUGUGUUUAUAUGGUGGAAUUUUGGCCAUCCACCAUUAAUAACACUGCAUUUUCUUGAUUCAAUGUAGACUGCUCUUCAUGCAGACUUUCAGGGCAGAGAGUAUCUGUAUGUGUUUCAUAUUUAUGAGAAUAGCUUCCUAAUGAGCUUGCCAAUCGUAUUUUAUAUACACACAACUUACUCAGGAAACCAAAUUUCCUUGGUGCCUUCUGGUGAAUUACUUUCAUAUUAAAAAAGUAAGAAAUAGUAAAGAUCUGACAUUAAUGCAUUGCCUAGUGUCAGGUUCAGCUAAACAUCUAAGAAAUAUAAUUUGUGCUGAAAUUUCUUGUUUCUCUUCACUUAUUUUGUUUUCAUAACUUUCCUGUCCCUCUGUGUCUGAGAAAUCUAGCUGUAUACGACUUCUGGUCUUCUGGGUAGGAUUAGAGUGGGUCGAUGUUUUCAACUUUACUCUCUUGAUUUGUUUACAGCACUUGAAUUAAUUCUCAUGCAUUCACAUUCUCAACUAUGUACUACACAGGUUCGCAUAUGGAAUAUGAAGUCUGUUAGUACUGACUUAGAAAAUGAUGAUUCUUCUCAAAGGCUUCUUGCAACUCUACGGGAUCACUUUGGGUCUGUCAACUGUGUUAGGUGGGCUAAGCAUGGAAGGUAUGUUGCAUCAGGCUCUGAUGAUCAGGUGAUAUUAAUUCAUGAGAGAAAGCCUGGUUCAGGAACCACUGAAUUUGGCAGUGGAGAGCCACCAGAUAUUGAAAACUGGAAAGUUGCAAUGACUUUGAGAGGGCACACUGCAGAUGUGGUAAUGCUGUUGCUUUUAUUUUUCAAUCUUCUUUUUCAAAAAUAUUUUCUUGUUUCAACCAUUUAAUUCCAUGUUGACAUUUGCUCUCAGAAUUGAAUGAACCAAUUUGUCAUCUAAAUGGAUCUCUAGCUGCUUAUCCGAAUGGUUUUAAAUUUUCAAUUAUCAUCAUUAACUUGGGAUCUAUUUCUCCAUGCUUAAAGUAGGUGGAUCUUAACUGGUCUCCGGAUGAUUCUGCAUUGGCUAGUGGGAGUUUGGACAACACUAUCCAUGUAUGGAAUAUGAGCAAUGGCAUUUGCACUGCUGUCCUAAGGGGCCACUCCAGCUUGGUUAAGGGAGUUGCUUGGGAUCCUAUUGGCUCCUUUAUAGCAAGUCAAUCUGAUGAUAAAACUGUAAUUAUUUGGCGAACUAGUGAUUGGAGUCUUGCUCAUAGGACAGAUGGUCACUGGGCAAAAUCAGUAAGUUUCUUAUUUUGAAAAAAUUUCUGAUGGAAUAACAAACUCUAUUUCCUAAUUAACCUGUCUUCCUUUCAGCUUGGAUCAACCUUUUUCAGGCGUCUUGGUUGGUCUCCUUGUGGUCAUUUUAUCACCACUACUCAUGGUUUCCAGAAGCCUAGGCAUUCUGCCCCUGUGCUAGAGAGAGGGGAAUGGUCUGCAACAUUUGAUUUUCUAGGACACAAUGCUCCAAUUAUUGUGGUUAAGUUCAACCAUUCUAUGUUCAGAAGAAAUUUGACUAAUGCUCAGGAAGUGAAGUCUGUACCUGUUGGGUGGACCAAUGGUGCUUCCAAGACUGGAAGUAAAGAACCACAGCCUUAUAAUGUUAUUGCAAUUGGAAGUCAGGAUCGAACUAUAACUGUUUGGACUACUGCAAGUCCUCGUCCUCUAUUUGUGGCUAAGCAUUUUUGUACUCAAAGUGUUGUGGAUUUGUCCUGGUAUUUCUCUUCAUCUCUAGCCAUGGUUGAUUUAUUUUGGGAAUGUUAUAUUUUUAAUUAACAUUUUUACUUUAUCAUUUCUGUGAGUGACUCCUUAUAAUUUUUUCUUUUUCCUUUUCAAAUAGGAGCCCUGAUGGAUAUUCACUUUUUGCAUGUUCCUUGGAUGGAUCUGUGGCUACAUUUCAUUUUGAGGUAAAAGAACUUGGUCAGAGAUUAGGUGAUGCUGAGCUAGAUGAGUUGAAGAGAAGUCGUUAUGGUGAUGUGAAAGGUCGUAAAGCAAACUUGGCUGAAAGUCCAGCACAAUUACUGCUAGAAGCUGCUUCUGCCAAGCAAACACCUAGCAAAAAAGUGGUUUCUGAUGUUCAACAAAACCAAUCUAAGGCAAAGGCUUAUGUUGAUGUGGCAGUUACUGCAAAGAAUGCUGAGCUUCAAAAUGAUGAUGGCAAGAAAAGUGGAGGUCCAGUUGGUGAUGUGUCAAACAAAGCUGCAACCUCUGGCCGGAUUUCUAGUCCUGUUAAGCAAAGAGAAUAUAGACGACCUGAUGGGCGUAGAAGAAUUAUUCCAGAAGCAGUAGGAGUGCCUGUUCAGCAGGAAAACAUUUCUGGUGCACUUCAGCAAGCACUCAAUUUUCGUAUAGUUUCUUCUGAUCACAGAAAGGAUAUUGAAAGAGCUGUAUCCAAUGAAGAUGGUGCAAGAGUAUGCACCUUGGGAGGAGCACAUGGCAGAAAUACUGAUAUAAAAGAGCGUUCUGGGGUUACUGCUAGGGCCACAAUUUCGGAGAGCCUAGUGAUUGAGAAGGUUCCAGCUUCUGCUGGUGAUGGAAGCGUCAAUGUUGAGCAGUCAAGCAAUUUGAUGUCUUCCAGUUCUUUAGCUGCUUGUAGUGGUACACUUUCCAUUAGAGUAUUUGACAAGAAAAGUGGAGAAGAUUCUUCUCCUAUUCUUUUAGAAGCACGCCCAAGAGAACAUGCUGUAAAUGACAUUGUAGGGCUGGGAAAUACAUCCAUAAUGAAAGAAACAGAAAUUGUGUGCUCAAAGGGUCCUCAUACACUUUGGUCUGAUAGGAUAUCAGGAAAAGUCACUGUUUUAGCUGGCAAUGGAAAUUUUUGGGCCGUUGGGUGUGACGACGGAUGUCUGCAGGUAAAUUGCUUUUCUACAUGUACAUGCAUUGUUUUCUUUCAGUACUUAUUUUCUGUUAACAUUUCUGAUAUAUUGUGGGACAUGGGUUAUGAGUGUAUGUUGAGCUGUAGUAGUUGUACCCAACAUCCUUUAUAAUAUUUUUCUUGGUAUUAUUGAGCUUUGUUGUGCUUUCCUUUAAGACUUUUAUCCUCAUGUUUUAAUGUUACUAAAAAUUAUUUCUUCUAGGCCUUUCAUCGCAUGUUUUAUACCUUUUGGUAUCUUGGUAGCAUCUCUUGUGCAUCGAUCAAGUCCAUUCAAGUUGUUAAUGUGUUCAUUUCUUGCAUAUUUACCACUGGCAUACAUACCAUUGUAGUUGUAAUGUUGUAUGACUAAUAAUUAGUUGCUUACAGCCUUACACUUAAAAUAUCCCAUAAAUACAACACAUCAUUUGUAACUGUAAACUAAUUGAUUGAGAAAGCUAUCUAUGUUAACACUUUACUACUUGAUAUUUGUCACAUAAUACUUUACCAUGUAAACUAAUUGAUUAAAGAAAACUAUCUCUGUUAUAUCAAACUUAGCUAAUAAUCUUUUGGUAUUCAAAUUUCAGAAAAAAAUAUUGUUGAGUUUUAAUUAGGAUAAGUGCAGUACUAUGUGACAAAUAACUAAUUUCUAUGUACUGUGAGAUACAUGGUUUAAAAUUUUUUUAAUCUUGUAAAACUAUGGGCAUAAUGUACUAGUUCAACAUAUGGGCAAGAUGUAGGUCUUAUGCUUUUGAAAUCUUUGUUUUUUGACUUUUUCUUGCUUCCAAGAAGAUUUACACGAAGUGUGGGAGACGAGCAAUGCCUACCAUGAUGAUGGGUUCUGCAGCUACAUUUGUAGACUGUGAUGAAUGCUGGACAUUACUGCUGGUGACAAGAAAAGGAUCCCUGUACUUGUGGGAUUUAUUCAACCGAACCUGUCUUCUUCAAGAUUCGUUGACUUCUCUAGUUGCUUCAAGUCCUAACUCGUCUGGUAAAGAUGCAACUACCAUAUAUAUUAUGUACAUUUGUUUGAUAUUGGAGAUGCUUGGUCUUUAACUAUGGCCUCUGCCUCACAGUUUAUUAUUUUUUUCUUUGUAUGAGGACAACUUGUCCUGGUUUUCCAACAAUUUGUCUUUUUUCAGUGGCUCUAUGUUAUCUUAAAAUUUAUCAUUUCUUUUCAGGAACUAUUAAAGUUAUAUCUGUGAAACUAUCAAAAUCGGGUUCCCCUCUUGUUGUGUUGGCUACUCGCCAUGCUUUCUUAUUUGACAUGAAUGUCAAGUGUUGGCUGAGGGUUGCAGAUGAUUUCUUUCCUGCAUCAAAUUUUUCCAGCUCAUGGAGUUUGGGUUCGAUUCAAAGCGGUGAGCUGGCAGCACUGCAGGUUGAUCUCAGAAAAUAUUUGGCUCGGAAGCCAGGUUGGACUAGGUGUGUAUUGAUUAAUCUUUUAUAUAUAUAUAUAUAUAGCUUGUAGUUGGUCUUGGUCCUCGAUUUGAAAUGUUGUUGGAUACCAUAUGAAUAUGAAAUUGAAUUAAGGGGAUGGAAGGUGGGGUAGAUAUUAGUAAUUCUAUAGACUGUAACUUUCUAAUGGUUGGCUUUAGCUUAUUGUCAAAUUAUGAUGCAGUUUAUUAAUGUAUCCAAAGAAAUGCAGUUAUAUAACUAUCAUGAUAAAUAUAUACAAAGACAACCAAGCUUAUCUCUCUCAUUGAAGUGGUGUAAUCUACAUGGAUCAAUCAAUGUGAUUGGACUCACUAAAAAACGAAAUUUCCUGUGAAACCAUUUAGAAUUUUCUAACUUCCUUUACCCCUUAAUUAGACAAUGUUCAUUUGAUGAACAUUUUUCGUAUUGGAGCCUCUUUGGUCGAAUAUUUGUUGUCUCUUUAAUAGGUGUGACUUAAACUUUUUCUUGGAUACAUUUGUGGCUAAUCAUGAUACUGGUUGAGGAAUAUGGUGGAACUUCGUUGCUGAACCUGCCUCUGGUACAGUAUCAUUGUUGUACCAAACAGAGAUCCAGUAGUAUACAACUCUCAAGAGUUAAGAUCCCUCCUGUUUCUGACUCCUAAGGAUGUGUUAAUGCAUAAUAAAAUUGAAAAACCUACAACUAUUUCCUGUAUAUUUAUACUCUUGUCUAGAAGGAUGGAGUGUGCUUGUUACAUAGGCCUCUGAUCUCGUGUUUCAUAAUUUUCCCCCCUCCCCCUUUUUGUUAGGAUUCUGAUGUUUUUAAAAGUACACUUUCUAAACUUGACUACCUUGAUACAGAGUUACUGAUGAUGGAGUGCAGACACGUGCUCAUUUGGAAACGCAAUUGGCUUCUUCCUUGGCUUUGGGAUCCCCUAAUGAAUAUCGCCAAUGCCUAUUGUCAUACGUACGCUUUCUUGCAAGGUGUUAUUCUUUUCUCUUUUUCUUUGAGAUAUUGUUCAAAUAAUACUUUAGCGCUUUAUUGAGCUUGCAUAAAGCAUGUAUGGUUGUAUACGCAUUUAGUUUCUCUAUAAAAGUGUAAGUCACAUACUGUUUCUCACUACCCCCAGCCACUAACCACCUUGCUCACUUGCUGUCUGUCUCCAGCUGUUUACGCCUAAAACUCAAUUCUUCUGCUAAAAAAGUCUUUUGAUGAUGCUCAUACUAAAUUCUUUAAUUUGCAUGAUGACUAUUCUCAAGAUGAAUAGAAUGCAACUUCUUUAAACUGUCUUCUAGAACUUUUUUUAUUAGGAAGAUGCUAUAUGUAUGUUUAUGCAGAGAAUGCAGUCUUAAUUUUAAAUUUUUAAUACUUUGUGAUUAUAUAUGCAUAUCGUGUUGUCUUUGUGAUUUUGGACAAUUGCAGACUAAAGGAUUAUAAAAUUAUUGCAGAGAAGCAGAUGAAUCUCGUUUACGUGAAGUGUGUGAGAGUUUCCUUGGACCUCCAACUGGGAUGGUUGAGGAAACAUCUUCAGAUUCAAAGAACUUAGCAUGGGAUCCUAUGGUGCUUGUAAGCUUUUCUCUAUCUACAUAUCUAAUAAAAUCAUGUUAUGCAUACCCAUUUAUUUAAAAGAGUGAGUCAAGCCGGGAAUGAUAAAAUAGUGCAGAAGAACACUUUAAAAAUUUCCUGUUCUGAAAUAGACUAUAGACGAUUACUGAAAUUUAGGGGCCGCCUUUUUAAGAUUUUGAAAAAGAGAUUUUAAGAUUGUGUAAAAAAUGAAUUAUUUUAGAUUUUGAUUUUCUUUUUCAAAAUAAAAGUGAUUUUUAAUACAAAAACUGGGGGAAAAGAAGAGCUCUUAAUUGGAAAGCUAGAUAGAGGAAAAGUGCACGAAAAAGAUUUAUUGGCUGAUUACACUGAUUUAUUUAUCUUAAAAAAAUGACAAACCCUAACAGGAAGAUACUGAGACUUUUAUGGACCAACAGCUUAUAUGAUUGUCAAACCAAAUGAUCACUGUAUCUUCUUUCUCUAAUGUUCCAACUGAAUCUUUGCAGGGAAUGAGGAAGCACAAGCUUCUUAGGGAAGACAUUCUUCCAUCCAUGGCAUCAAACAGAAAAGUCCAGAGAUUACUUAAUGAAUUCAUGGAUCUUUUAUCCGAAUAUGAGAUCAUUGAUGCUAAUCAAGAGCAAUCAAACCCCACAGUACCAAAUUCAUCCUUGCCAGAAACCAAUCCAAUUGAGAGCAGUUCACUAGCAACAGAUCAGGAGCACACUGCUCCACCAAAAUUGGAUCACAAUACCCCACUGGAAAAAGAGCAAAUAAAUUUCCCUCCAGCACUCACAGAUGA